GUGUUUCAGCUACGGAAGCUCAGUUGCGUUUAGAUCGGAAGAAUCCAGAACAGCGUACGGCUGGAAGUUCAGAGCGGCAUACUUUGUCAUCGUCACUCUGCAGCUGCCGAAUCUCCACUCCAAGAAUUAUCACAUCUAGGAAUCAACACAGUCAACAGGCUUGAAUCAUAUAUCUCUUAUGUAAAUUGGCAGCUGCUCCAUAGCCACAGCUAGGAUGUGGAAUCGAUAUGAUUUAGAGCAGUAAUGCACUAUAUUUGAAGAACACCAAUAAUAUUUCAGGACUAAACUUGCAGCUGCAGAUACAUUUCCUAGUAGCUGUUCACCGCAAUAUUUUGGGGAAAAAGAGACUCAUUGUCGUUGAUCUCACCGACUGAUGAGGACAUCACAUGCUUGGAUACAACCAUAUUGGCAUCUUUUGACUCCGAGGUGAAACAAUUCUUUAUUAUAAUUAUAUGUGACACAUUUGAUGAAUUGAUGCUGCACCAUGAUGUGUAUUCGUUGUCAAUUUCAGAAAUACAUACAUGGAUAAAAAAUAGUGUUAAACACACAUGGAAGGCAUGGAGGACCAAAGAAGUAGAUUGGGGGCCAAGUCCAAGUAUUCCUAACGUGCUCCACCAGGCCACCACGUCACUUUUGCCCCAAGAAAAGAAAGAGUUCCAAUCCAACACGUUUUGGGGCUGGAUUCGGACUGCAGCUCUGUGUCAACUUGCAACGGCCGCCACGACCUCAUCCGGACUCCGUUUUAGGCGUUCAAGUACUCCUUGGAAUCCUUAUGAAAUCUAUUUUCAUAUGGAUCUAGACUCAUAUCCAUAUCUAUUCGGAGUCGGCCGUAAUCAUCGAAAUACUACCGAGAGGUUUUCUGUCCACAGGUGCUGCGUCGCCUUAUUUUGGCCCAAUGGGCCGUGUAUCAAGUUGGGUCCAUUAGGGACGUGUCCUAGGGUUGGAGCACGACCCCAACACCCUCCUGGUCGUCCUCCUAGGUAUUAAUAAGGAUUAGAGCCACCACGAACAGAUUGGGUUUUGUUUUGUUGAAAGUUUAGCCAUUGCUACUUCCUUGUAGACGCGUGUGUCGACUAGACCAUCCGUUCUACUCGAUUCAGAACCCCAACUUUGUGAUUUCAGAUUUGUUUUCAUCUCCAUAUUUGCAAUUUAGUUGCUUGUUCUACUUGUUCUUGCUUGUUCUUCGAUUGCUUGCAGGACGAGUGCCCUAGUGGCCGGGUGACGCGCUCCACAAGAUCGCGGUAGCCAUUGGAGGUGGUGUAUCGGUUGCUAAGGCGCAGCUUGGAAGGCUGUAGUCGGGCCGUGAACGUCAUCUCCAUCCACCAAUCGAGUUAUCCACGCCUCUCUCAUCGAAAGAUCGGGAAUCAACCCUAGCGGGUUCAUAUCACCGACUAUGGCCAUGUUUGGAUCCAAGGGUUAAGUUUAGCUUUCUAAACUUUAGUACUACCUAUCCAAAUAGGAGGGCUAAUGGAUUGGCUAAACUUUAGUCAAGCUCCAAAAAGGUGAAAAAGCUUUAGCUAUGAGGAAAAGGCCAAAAUGCCCUAACUUUAUGAAGGAAAAGAGAGAAACAAGAAUAAAAGUGACACUUUAUUGAGUUUAGCUGUACCCAUUAGCUAUGUAUGGACUAAAGUUUAACCAGCUAAAGUUUAGCCCUUACUAAAGUUUAGCUCUAACCCAUUCAAAUAUAGCAUAUGUCUACUAUGAGCUCCGGCGACUGGCCAUUUGGGUGGGGAAGAACGAAGAAGUAAAUAAUCAAAGGGCCACAGUAGGUGGUUUGGUUUGACCAAUUUGGUCUGACAUCCUGGCUCAACCAAGUCAUCAAGAUUCGUAUGGCAAAGGCAACACAGCACACAUCUCCAACCGUCCUCCUGUGCCUGAAAGGAUACUGACAGUAUGGCCAACCCGAUGAUGAAAUAAACAUGGUCCUAUAAAGGUAUAAUUUGUGAUUUUGGUGAUUAAGUGACAAUAUAGUUAUUGGGACUAAUGGUUUAUUGAGCAUAUGCUUUGUAGAAUUUAUAAGUCCCAAGAAUGGAAACCAAACAAUGCAAGAUUCAAGUCACGGCAUUCAAGUCAUGGUGUUCUAGAGCAGCCAAGUAACGCUAUUCAAAUAGCUGGAUUCAACAAGAAAAAUGCACAUCACUAGAUGAUCUGACGGUUCAUCAGCGGAAGCAUCCCACAAAAACGUCGGAGCAUUUGUUACAACGGCAAAACCCCCAUGCGCACCAGAUGAUCCAACAGGAUGAUUUUUGUGAGCGUCCGAGUUUUAGACCUUGUGAACAAGUGAACCCUAGGAUGAUCUGAUGCUAGGAUUGAGGGGUGUCAGACUAAGCAUUAGAUGAAUCUUGGGAGAUGUGCUGGCUCGGUUUGGAGAAAACAAAGGGCACUGAAGGAAGCGUGAGACGAAUUUGGCAGUGAGGGGUCCAAUGGCUAUUUGUGUCAGAGGGGGCACAGAUGAUCUGAUGCCUACCCCAUGUGACCAUCGGAUCAUUCGGUGCUCACAGUUUUUAGCUAGCUGUUGGAGCAACAACUUCUUUGAUAGUUUGUGCUACCUCAUCCAUUUGGAGAUGCUGCUGUGUGCACAAGUCUAUUGAAGAUCAAGACUCAUUAAGAAUACAUCCAUACAAACAAGAGUGGAAAAGUGAUCAUUCAAGGCUUAGCACAAGCUUAGAAUAGUGAUUAGUGCUAGGAUAGGCCUAGAGUGAGCGAGUAUAAGGUGUUGCUACCUUUUUUGUUAACUGAACAACAAGGGAGACCCCUACUGGAUUUUUUAUAUAAAUAUGAAAAAAGAGAUAUACAAAUUACAAGAUCACAGGUCCAAAGAAGAUCCUAGCUAGGGGGAGGGAAGAGACAUCUUAUAUGAAAUUACAUAGCCACUGAGUCAACUCCUGUUUCCGAGAAGGUUUUAGCUCUAUGUAUGAUCGAAGCAAACUCUUCUUUGAAAACCAACUUCCAUCUAUCUAGAGACAGGCCGGGAGCCACCAUAAAAAACAAUCCCAUUUCAAUGCAGCCAAAUACACCAGCAGGCAACAAUUAAAAUUUCCCUGAAGACUUUAGACCCGAACUUCUGUCGAACAUCAAUGAUCGUAUCUGAUGUAAGAAGAGAUAGGUCCCAGGUUUUGCAAAUCCAGAACCAGCAUUGCGCUGAGACAUGUGAAAAAUAAGUGAAACAAAGUCUCUUCCAUUCCUGAUGAGCAUAGGACACAAGAAUAAUCAUCCAGGACCAUAUGUUUGCGGUGCAAAAGGUUGCAGGUAUCCAAACGAUCCCUGAGGAGCCUCCCCUGUGAUUGGUACAAGGAGUGGACCAUCAUUAUAAGUUUGGUGCGCUAGCACCUUGGGGUCUUGGUGGCUCGCUGGCAAGUCUUUGACCCUCUCGAGCUUAGAUGGAGUGAUGAUGACGAUCAUGUGCAGGGGAUGAGAGGCCCCUUCCUUUGUGGAGAAGCUCUGUGGUGGAGAUAGCAUCAAGAUGACCCGAAGAGAGGGAGGGAGCAGUGAGCUUUGCCUUUGUGGCAAGCUUCUCAUCCAGCAUGGCAGGAGUCUUUGGGGUGAGUUCAAGAUCUUGACCGGAAGAGACUUGGUGACUGGAAAUAUAUCCUUGUGCAGCUCUAACGUGUAGUAGGGAUGGCAUUUGCCUACUGAUACAACGGAAUAAAUUGCCGUGCCGCGUUUGCAUCUUUCUAACUCACUCCUUUACGUUUCCACAUUUCUUACUUGGAACUUGAGUGCCUUACAUUCUAGACUAGUAUCUUGUUAGGAUUAGCUCUAGGUUGGAAAACUCUUUGUGGGUGAGAAGUUUUCACUAGAUCAAUCAUAGAUGCACAUCUAGAUAGUAUGAUCUAGUCUAUAUUUUGAUGCAAGUAGCGAAAGCUAUAAGCUAUGGUUUUUAAGUUUACCUAAUUCACCUCAUCCCCUCUAGGCUACAACCAUCGAUUCCUUUCGUACGAGGAUGGAGUAGGGAAGAAAUCAUCGGCGCAGUGAGAUUGCCACCGUCCAGCACUACGACGAGGAAGAAUACGUGGACUACUGCCUCCCUGCCAGAGAAGACGGAGACUAGGAGGGGCUGCCAUACCCCCGCUUAACCGAUGCCACGCGCUCGAGGUGUAGUACACUCAAUUUUACUCCCAUCUUAGUCUCAUUACAUGCUCUAAUUCAUUUCAGUAUAUAGCCUUUUCCAUACACACGGCACUAAAAUAAAGUUUUUAGCGUCGGUGUGGCGGAACCGCCUAAAUUAACUUGGCUAAAGCACACUUAAGUCGCCUAAACGCGAUCAUGUACUUUAAACAAGUCAACUUGGUCGUCCGUCGGAUUUCCUCCGAUAAAACCACGUAACGCAGGAUCGAGAAAGCAAAACUCACACGAUGGUGAGUGGUUACAGAGAUUACAACAGUCCAUCCAGAUUAAACAAAGUGCAUCAAUUUAUUACAACAUAAAGUUUAGAAAUUCAAACAUAGUUUGUAGAGUGUUCAAGCAGCGGAAAUAAAACGAACGGAAACUAAACGUCGAUGCAUGAUAUCAUGAAGAAGCCGAUCAUGACAUCACUGACCCCUGUCCUCGCCGUCCGAGGAGGGAUCCCACUCGACCGUCCAACCCGGAGGGAGCUGGGUAGACCAAGAAGAACUAGCAGCGAACUCAGAAACAUCAUCCUCACCUGAAAAGAGGUGCCACAAACAAGGCUGAGCAACUAUGCUCAACAAGACUUAACCGACCUGUGGUACUAAUCCACUAACACCUAGACAUGUAAGCUUUUUGGCUCUGGGUUUUGUUUUGCCAAAAGCGACUAGUGUAGGUCCUUACUUUCAACAUUUUAGCCACCAGUUCUACUGUUGUUUAUCAUUCUAAGUUAGCAACUAUACUAAACAAGCAUAGUUUUCCAAGCAAUUAAUAACAAGUAACAAUAUUAUAUCAUCAUCAUCUUUCAUUCUUACUCAGUGUAGCAUAGCGAUCAAGUAGUCCCACACUGUGAGAGGCAGACGAAUCGAUUCGAAUUUAUUAACCAUGCAUGGCGAACCUAAUCCCACGACAUCCGCGCACCACGAAGGGUCGCUUCACUUGUCAGCCGUCCCCAUCGAUCCCUAGGUACGUGUCAGGUCCAAACUUCCUUUGGCAUGCAAUGCUCCACAGUCCCGGUCUCUACCGUACUAUGACCGCCAUUGCACCCACAUGAUGCACCAUGGGAACAACGUUCCAAGGAUAGCAGGGGUAUAAGCCACGUCCCAGUUCAAUCAGGUACUAGGCUUCCCCAUCCCAUACUAGGUAUGAGAUUAGUACUUUCAAACACUUGAUCACGAACACCAUCACCUUUCGACCUUAGUCCAAUUUCAAGUAGACAAACGGGGCAAACCACCGAGUACCAACAUAAGCCCGGCCCCGUCCAUCAUCCUUAUAGUUGCAACGAAAAUAAAAUCAUUCAACUCCUAUAACUCGCGAGUGACAGGAAAUCACUCGACUUUUACCGAGUCCUAUUUAGCAUUGCAACUACUCGACUUCUUAUACUAGUGUUCAGAUCAAGGGGCACUAUAUUCAUGCAUCUAUGGUUUCAAUCAAUUCCUAUAAACGUAAAUGCAUAAUCAAAACAACCAAUAUAAUGCAAGUAUUUAAACAUAGGAAUUUAUGAUCCGGGGCUUGCCUUCACACUCGGAGUUAGCGAACUGGUCCUCGGCUUGCUCUAGCACGGGCUCGACUCCAGCGUGGUGUAGAUCCGCUACAGCUUCCUCUUCGGGCGUCGGGUGCAGCUCGUAUGUACCGUCGGCGAUGUUAACUUCUACAUGAAGGUGCAAAUGAUUCAACAUGCAAAACCAAGAGUCUGAAAGGCAUUUCAUAUAUUAUUCCUUUUUAUCUUUCUCUAAAAAGGAAAGAGGUUUUCAUUAACUUUCAAACCAAGUCUCAUAAUUUUCCUGUGAACUACACCUCAUUCCUGAAUUAUUCCAAGUGGUUUCAUAUUUUUAUCAUCUCUAGAUUUAUCAUUAUGCAAAAAGAAAAAUCUACCCGUAGAUUUCAAUUAAUAAACUAAAACAGUAACUUAAAUGUCUAAGCUAGGCUCUAAACCAUUUUUCUAAGCUUUUAUUCUCUAAAACAAACACUUGAGAGUUGGAUUUACCUUUUUAGCAUUUUUCUGUGAUUUGCUAUGAUUUAAACUAGCUUAAACAAGGAUUAAAUCAUAUAACAUUAAUUCUAACAGAGACAUGUGUAAACUUAUUUUUAUAUUAAACUACACAGAAUAUUGAGUCUAACAAAAUUUAUCUUGCAUUUUUAGCAUUUUUCUACACUUUUCUAUGCCUUUUUAAACUUUCAGCCUUUUUAGAUCUAGGGAAAAAAAAGAAAACCGAGGCAAUCUUCCAAUCUAGCCCUCCAGUCUAUGGGUUAAAUGCGUAGAGGCCCCUGGAUCUUGCGCCUACACCCCUGGACAAAAACCCACCUCAAACAUAAAUCCCACGAUUUUCCCCAUAACCCCCUGACUUUCUUUUCCACUCGCAACUAGACCCCUGGCCUUCUUCUUCCUCUGGAACAGAACGCACAGCACAGCAAAACAGACAGGCUUGGCCGGCGUUCGGGAUUGGGCCAGCGGCGGUAGGGGGAGGGCAGCGGGGCGGCUUGGGGGCGAGGAGGGGCUGCGACGCAGGGCCAACGGCUCCCAGAAGCAGGUCCAGAGACGCGGAUCGCGGCGGCGCAGAAGGGGCUCCGCGGGCGGCGAGGAACGCCGUCGACAUGAGCGGGAACGAGCGCGGAAAGUUGACCCCAGAGGAAAUCGAGCGCGAGCAUGAUGAUCAGUGUCUUACCGCGGUUCCGUUUGAGUGGUUGGUUGACGACGAGGAUGACUGGAAGAUGGUGUUCCGCGGUGAGGCAGUGGGGGUGGCGGGUGGAGUUCCUGGAGUUGGGGAAAGUGGGAUUCCGGGCGAUGGGGUGGAUGGCAGGCGACGAGGAGUGUCCGAGGGUGUGGCUGAGGAAGUGGAGGAGCCUCAGGCGUGGGCUAUUAGACAGAGGCGGAGGGAGCUGGCCAGAUUUCGUCGGGGAACGGGAACCUCUCGAGCUGCCGGUUUGGGGCAAGAACUUUCUGUUGGAGGGCACUGGGGCUUGGAAAGGAGGCAGGAUACUUGAGGAGGGUGGUUUGGAGGAUGGGGCGCUAGUACGCUGCUGCGGGGUGGACCGGCCACGGCGGGCACCAUUGGCGGAUAGGGGAGGCGACUUGGCGGGCGUGCUUGCAGGCGGGCGCCGCAGGCGAAGCAGGCAUGCACGGGUGAACGGCUCCAUCAGGGCGCUGCAGGCGAGGCCGAGGAGCUGUUGCGUCUUGUCUCGGGCGUACGUUGGCGAGCACGGCGGCGGUGGCGUGCCAGAGCGUCGCAGGGCGCGUGCGGAUAGAGCAGCGGCAGGGGGGGCAACUUGACGGGGCAGCGAUGAGGAGCACGUGCCACGGGGCGGCCGGCGAGGGGAGCGCGGCGCACGCGUGCUCGGCGUGAGCUCUGGUGCAGGAUUUGCGGGAUCGGAUGAUAGGGCAAUCUUCGAGCGCGAUCUUCUCCAGAUUUUUGAACUGCACAACCCCUACCCCCUUUACAAAAGUUGUAGGCCUAGGAUCUAAGUUCAAUUCUUGUAAUUGUCUUGAUUUCAAAUUCGAACCCGAAUUGAAGAUAAAACGCUUCAAAGUUUGGCAAAAUCCGAAACUUUCAGACUUGAACACUUCAGCCAUUUUCGACAGUGUUGACCAUUUAAGCUGCGUUUGACCUCAUUUUUGAAAACCUUUUGUGCAGAUUUUGGCCUAAGCCCAAAAAUCAAAGUUGUUAAGGACUCGUAGCACUAAAACUUUCAUAAAAGGUUUGUCGUGAGCAUACAUUCGAAAAUGUGAGAAAAAGGGCUCCAAAGUUCUGACUUUAUUUGAUCUGCACCUUUCGGCCCAGAUUUGUAAUUCGAUAUUUUGACCCUUUUCUGAUCAGUUUCAAGCAAAAAGAUAAUUACAAAAGUUGUUAGAAUUUGUGAGUUAUACAACUCUUAGUUAGGAAUAUUUUUAAGUUCUUAAGAAAAAAAUUGAGUUAUGGCUUAAACACAUGUUUAGCUCGUGAGGGGCAAAAGGGGUCAUUUUACUUGGGUGCAAGGCUGUUCAUUGGUUCCAUUAAGCUCUAAUGACUUCACUUAAGCUCAAAGAAGGUAAAUUUUGGCGCAUUUGCUACAACCUACCUCCCUUAAAGGAAUCUCGCCCCGAGAUUCGAGUGAAAGAAAAAGAACUAGUGUGGCUUGGGUAUCGUACCUCCCUGAUCGAAAAGAAAUCCGCGGAAGUGGGUAUUAAGAUACUCCUCCGUUUCCCAUGUGGCUUCGGCUUCUGUGUGAUGACUCCACUGAACUUUGAACAUCCUCAUUAUUUUGUUCCGGGUCUUUCUUACCUUGCGAUCAACAAUCUUGAUUGGGUACUCCACAUAGGAAAGAUCCGGGUCUAUCGAUACCUCUUCUUGCUCAAUAAUUGCCGUGGGAACUCGUACACACUUCUUGAGCUGCGAUACGUGGAAUAUGUCGUGUAUAGCUGAAAGUCUGUUAGGGAGUUUAACUCUAUAUGCGACUGGUCCGCAUAUUUCCACGAUCUCAUAGGGACCAAUGUAUCGGGGAGCCAAUUUUCCUUUGAUCCCAAACCGUUGUACACCCUUAGUCGGUGAGACUCGGAGGUAUACAUGAUCACCAAUGUCAAACUGUAAGGGUCUUCUCCUUUUGUCAAAAUAGCUUUUCUGUCGUGAUUGGGCGGCUUUAAGAUUUGCCUGAAUUAUUUUAACUUGCUCUUCGGCUUCAACUACUAGAUCAGGCCCGUAGGUUUGUCUUUCUCCUGUUUGUGACCAAUUUAAAGGUGUUCGACACCUUCGACCAUAUAGGGCUUCAAAUGGUGCCAUUUUCAAGCUAGCCUGGUAGCUAUUGUUAUAGGAAAAUUCCGCUAAUGGCAAACAUUUAUCCCAAUUCUUGUCAUAAUGUAUGACGCAAGCACGUAGCAUGUCUUCUAGAAUUUGAUUCACCCUUUCUGUUUGGCCAUCAGUCUGAGGGUGAUAUGUUGAGCUACGGAUUAGCUUAGUGCCAAGUGCGGACUGUAGUUGUUCCCAAAAGCGUGCGAUGAAUUGAACUCCUCGAUCAGAGAUGAUUGUCUUCGGCACACCAUGUAGGGACACAAUACGGUCAAGAUACAAUUCUGCAUAUUUCCGAGCGGUGUAGGUAGUGUGAACAGGAAGGAAAUGUGCCGUCUUGGUAAGACGAUCCACUAUAACCCAGAUAGAAUCAUGGCGCUGAGAAGUAACGGGUAAUCCCACAAUGAAAUCCAUGCUGAUAUCUUCCCAUUUCCAAGAUGGAAUAGGUAGCGGUUGCAAGGUACCUGCUACCUUCAAGUGGCUUGCCUUGAUACGUUGACACGUGUCGCAUUCCGAGACAUAGCGCGCAAUUUCCGGUUUCAUUCCACUCCACCAAAAUGUUUGACGGAGGUCAUGAUACAUCUUAUUGCUGCCAGGAUGAAUCGAGAACUUGGAGAGAUGUGCUUCAUCCAGUAUUUGCUUCCUAAGGUCGGGGUUAGAUGGGACAACAAGUCGGUUCUCAUAGUACACUAUUCCCUUCUCAUCUUGUCGGAAAUGUUUAUACCCCUCAUCUCUCUGUGCAACUUUCUCCUUAAUUAGCUUUAUUUCCUCAUCUUCUAAUUGUAUCAGCCCAAUUUGGUCCUCUAAGGUAGAUUCAAUGGAAACAUGACUUAAGGUGCCAUGGGAAAUAAUUUCCAAACUAAGUUUUCCCAUCUCAUGACAUAUGGUUUCUGCGAAGUUAGUUGCCGACAAACAAUUGCAAUGGGCCUUGCGACUGAGAGCAUCGGCAACUACAUUUGCUUUGCCGGGGUGAUAAUGCACUUCCAGAUCAUAAUCCUUAAUUAAUUCCAACCACCUUCUCUGACGCAUGUUAAGAUCCGCUUGAGUAAAGAUAUACUUGAGGCUCUUGUGAUCAGUGUAGACAUUGCAAUGAGUGCCCAUAAGAUAGUGUCUCCACAUCUUCAAGGCAUGAAUCACGGCUGCCAAUUCAAGAUCAUGUGUCGGGUAAUUCAGCUCAUGUGGCCGUAACGCUCGUGAGGCGUAGGCAAUGGCUCGGUUGUCUUGCAUGAGAACACACCCAAGUCCAGUGCCGGAGGCGUCACAAUACACGUCAAACGGCUUAGUAGUGUCAGGUUGAGCUAGGACUGGGGCAGAGGUUAAAAGUCUUCUCAAGGUGUGGAAAGCUUCUUCACAUUUGUCACUCCAUGUGAAUUUGACUCCUUUCUUCAACAACUCAGUCAUAGGCUUAGCUAUUUUUGAGAAAUUCGGAAUGAAUCGCCGAUAGUAGCCUGCUAGACCAAGAAAGCUUCGGAUUUGAUGAACCGAAGUGGGUGGCUUCCAGUCCAUGACCUCUUGCACUUUGCUGGGGUCGACUGCAAUGCCAUCUCGAGAAAUAGUGUGUCCCAAGAAUUUAACAUUCUCCAACCAGAACUCACACUUGGAGAACUUCGCGUACAGCUGAUGAUCUCUCAAGCGUUGAAGAACAAUGCGAAGAUGCUCGGCAUGUUCCUUCUCAUUCUUCGAGUACACUAGGAUGUCAUCAAUGAAUACCACGACGAAUUUGUCCAGCUCGGGCAUAAACACCGAAUUCAUGAGAUACAUGAAAUAAGCAGGUGCAUUAGUAAGCCCAAACGACAUAACUAGAUACUCAUAGAGUCCAUACCGUGUGGAGAAAGCCGUUUUGGGAAUGUCACACGGUCGGAUCUUGAUCUGAUGAUAGCCUGAGCGAAGGUCUAUCUUGGAGAAUACUCUGGCUCCAGCUAACUGAUCAAAUAGGACAUCAAUGCGGGGCAAUGGAUAUUUAUUCUUAAUCGUCACCGCAUUGAGAGGGCGGUAGUCCACACACAUGCGUAGACUCUCGUCCUUCUUCUUCACAAACAGUGCUGGACAGCCCCAAGGUGACGUACUUGGGCGAAUGAAACCCUUUUCCAACAGUUCAUGUAAUUGGGUUUUCAGUUCCGCCAGCUCUGCGGGUGGCAUUCGAUACGGCCUCUUGGAUAUUGGUGCCGUACCUGGUUGCAACUCAAUAGCAAACUCAAUAUCCCUAUCAGGUGGCAUGCCUGGCAGGUCAUCCGGGAAUACAUCUGGAUACUCACAAACAAUGGGGAUAUCUUCCAGUUGGGCUUCAACCAUGGGAUAAGCACAGGAGUUUACGCACUCUCGGUGGGGUAAGUGGAUAGUGGAGGUGCCAUACAGUGGUGAGUCUAUGUGGACAACUCGGGCGGAGAUAUCUAGCAUUACUCGGUGUUGAGUCAUCCAAUCCAUACCCAAGAUAAUAUCUAUUCCCUCUAGACCGAGAAUAAUAAGAUUUUCCUUAAAGAGGGUUCUUCCUAACUUGAUAGGUACAUUGAGGUUCAUUUGAUCUGAGACUAUUUUCCCACCCGGGGUAGAGAUCAUAUACGACCCUUUGGUGUGACAGAACCUUAACCCACAUCUAGCACCAGUUUUACUUCCGAUGAAACUAUGAGAUGCUCCGGAAAAUCAAAUAAAAUCAAAACUGGUUGAUUAUGAAUAAGGAAUGUACCCGUCAUCACCGGUGCGCCUUCUGGGAGUUCUGCCACAUUGGUGAAGUUUAGCCUGCCAUGACGAACUUGUACUUUGGGCUUCUUUCCCUUGUUCACCAUUGCAUUGCUCUGGCCGGGGCGUUGAUUCUUGUUUCUGGGGCAGUCCUUGGCAAAGUGUCCCACGUUGCUGCAGGUGAAGCAGCGGUUACCAUUUGCAGGGCGCGGCGGCGGUGGAAGGUUGCGCUGAGGCGCCUGCGGCUGGAAACCGGGGAAACGAGGUGCUGCCGGUGGUGGAGGGCGAGCAACCCAUCUCCCAGGCUGCGCGGGCCUGCGAGGUGCUGAAGGGGGAACCAUCCUGAAUUUCCGAGCAGGCGGGCUAGGUGAUAUCAUGGGAGCUUUCCGCUUCAGGUCGGCCUUGAGGGCCUUCAUGCAGUCUUCCUGGGAAAUGGCCAGAUUCACCAGCUCGUUGUAGGUAUCCACUUUGAUGGGGUUCAGCCUUUCCUUGAGUUUGAGACUCAAGCCCCUGCGGAACCGAUCCCGCUUCUUCUCAUCCGUAUCCGCGUGAUAGCUGGCAUAGCGGCAUAGGUCGUUGAAGGCCUGCGCGUAAUGCAGGACGUCGCGACUUCCCUGGGUGAGAGCCAGGAACUCAUUGAGCUUGCGCUCCAUUAGGCCCUCAGGGAUAUGAUGGCCUCUGAAAGCGGUCUUGAACUCGUCCCAGCUGACGAUGUGGUCAGCCGGCAGCAUGGCGUGGUAGUGGUCCCACCAGAGGCGGGCAGAACCACGCAGCUGCUGGGCUGCGAACCGUGCCUUGUUGUCAUCGGUGCAAGGCGUAGUGAGAAGCUCGAACUUGGAUUCCAGAAUGUGAAUCCAUGCAUCAGCAUCGAGAGGAUCCUCAGUCUUGUGGAAGAGCGGGGGCUGGGUCCCUAAGAAAUCCUCAUAACGAGCGAUCUGGGGCUGCUGAUGACCCCUUCCUCCCUGAGGCUGCUGUUGCUGCCCUUGGACGAUGUGUCGCAAGAGCUCUGUCUGUGCAGCCAAGAUCGCCUCUAGCGAAGGCGGGGGAGGCGGUGGUGGCGGAGGUGCUCGAUUAUCCUCGCUACCACUUGGGAUCGAGCUUAAGCGCACAGUGCGCACCAUCUGCAAGAGGGUAUCUUUCCAUUAGUCACAUAAUUCGAAAGCUUGCUUAAAAACAAGGAAAAAUUAUGUGCCGAUCAUAAACAUAAAUCUUGCGGAUCCUGAGAAAAACAACAAUAAGAUCCUUUUAUUGAGUAGGUGCAUAUCUCUUCUUCUGUAUGCACAUUGUUUCUCAUCUUUGGUCAGUAGUUAGCGCAUUUCAUAUGCCACAACUUUUGUAUUACGCUCGCUGACCAAAACAUAAGAUAAAGAGAUUGAAAAGUGAGCUGAGUGAGUCGUUGUCCGGCUGUUUUUCAGAAUCUGAGCGGUGAAGUUUUGGCUUCUAACAUGAGUUUAACAGAUCGAAAGGAGCUGAAAUUUUACGAGCGGUUAGAACACAAGUUUUUUUUCACAACUUUGGUAUUUAAAAAUCAGUUCAAAAGUGAGUGGAGAUAGGGUUAAAACUGAGACCAAACAGCAACUAUAUUUCUGCCAAGUUUUCGGUUAGAUCGCCAGUCAUGACAAAAGCAUGUCCAUGCAUACAUAACAAGUCUAUGGCAGCAAGAGUACUCAACUCGAGGCUAACCUAUUACAUCGCCAUCCAAAAUAUAGGUUGCCGAGGAGUAACAACAGAAGACCAACUCGCUACAACAAAAACCUAGAAGUCAUCUAAGUUGCCCACGGAGGAAGCGCUGUGCACCGGAGAAGGGGCGUCACCAACUCGGGGCGGAGACUGAACGCCCUCGAAGUCCAUGCUCGAGACACCCUCGAUCUCCUCGGGGUCCUCCUCCUCCUCCUCCUCCUCCAUCGGGUCAUUCUCCCCCUGCUGCUCCUGCGCAUGGAUGGCAUUGAGCUCAGCGUGGUGCUCAUCCAAGUGCGCAUUAGCAACAGCUAGCUCCAUCUCAACCUCUAGCUUCUCCUCUGCAAGCAAUACCAUAUCGUGCUCCAUAUCUGUUACCUCCUCCUCUAGCUCGGUGAUCCGGGUCUCCAUGUCAGAGAUCCGUAUACCCCUCUGGAUGAGCUGGUACGACUGUUCCACCAAAUCUUUCUUGGUGGUAUUGAGAUGCUCCUGGGUGUCCACAGCUAUCCGAGCCAAGACAGCCAUAGCUCUCCCCUGGAGCUCGACCAGUCGGUACAACGCAUUCAUACAACGCGUUGCGGUGGAGAGGGUGACCUGCGGGUGUGAGGUGACCAACACCUCCAUGUUGUUCACCCUAUCAAGCCAGUCUACGUCCAGCCUGUCCCUAGCGGGGAACAAGCCAAUCGGAUCCAAAAGGACCUCGAAAGGGUGUAGUCUGCAGAACUGAGUGAGGGCCUGCAGGGCAGCGGACUCCCAAGUAUCCUCGAGGGUAUGACCAUAUGUCGAAACCUCAAGCUGGGGCCAAUGUGGCUGCACUGGGGGUGGAGGUACGACCACACGCACGUUGCACCUUUGCACCCCGUGCUCCAGGUACUCGCGUCCCGCAUAAAGAGGCGGCGACUGGUACCCAAACCACCUCAAGGUGUCCCACAAGAUAGCGGGAAAACCCUCGAAGUGUAGGCACAUGGAGUGGGAGGUGCCAUCCGUGCCACGCAUCACGUGCCCAUGAGCGGCCAUCUGGAACCAAGGAGUGAUAAAAGAAACGUGAGAUUAAAACUCAGGAUGAAAACAGAUUCUAGUAGGCUAGAGAAAAAGCUCAUAACUCAACAAGUACUCAUCCAAAAAUUCCCAAAUUUUACUAACAUUCCCUUCUGAUAAUUGGUAACAAGUUUGGUAUUCAUAAGUGGAGUGAAAACAGAUCCUAACAGGGUGAUAUACUCAGAUCUUUGGCAGGUGGCACAUGCUGGAAUUUUCAGGGACAGUGUGGCAAUAAACUGAGCAUAAAUCCCAAACCAGAGAUCUAAAUAAGCUGAAAAUUUACCACAAGGUUCUUCAAACAGUGCUCUACAGCUUUUCUUAAGCAGUGCCUAGCAGAAAAUGUCCUUAAGGGAGUCGAAACAGGAAGACUAUAACAGGUGCACAAACUGUAUUUCCAGGAAAUAAGGAGUUACAAAUUUUUGUCAUUGCUCGCAGAUCCUUUGGGAAAAAUUACCAAAUUUUACCAGUGGCAUAAUAAAACAUUUUUACACACUUUUCUUGUAUAAAGUUUCUGUAGAUAACACAUGGAAACAACCCAAAAGAUUUUGAUAAGACACCAUGCUGAAAAGGGUAGCUAGAAAAUCCUUAACGCGGAAAAAAAAACCUUAAAACACAUGAGCAAGGUCGAUUUAAUGGUUCGGUUUCACGUAUUUUAGUUCAUGAUGCAUGCACGACCUACAUCGUCCUCUCAACCAAAAUAAUUGCCAAAAAUUGGACUUACGUGAUUAGUGCCGGUGGCAAGGCAACAAUUACAUCGCUCCCUAUAGUAUCUAGUCGGGUUUCUAAUAUCGUUUUCCUACGCGAACUUGGUUAGUGUACCUGCAGAAAAACACAAUACCACAUGAACCUUUCGUGCCAGCACUCACGAAAGCGUCCCCAUUCAUUACCAUUCACUAUAGAAAUGGCACCCAUGCGUUUAACGCUGCAUGGACAGCGCAACAACCGUGGAAAUAGGCCCCUUUGAAUAGGACCAUAUAACCCUUCGCAUACUCGUGAUGCGGAAUCAUGCGCACGUAUCAUAAACGUGGGCGAACAACCGUGAUGAUAGGCUCGUUGGAUUCGAACCAUACCACCCUUCGCAUGAAUCAUCAUACGGAACCUUGCGCACGUAUAAUAAACGUGGGCGAAAACAACCGCGAUGAUAGGUUCUUUUGAAUAGAACUUCCUACCACCCCUCGCAUACUCGCGAUGCGGAACUCUGCGCACGUAUAAUACACGUGGGCGAAAGUGCUAGAAGUCAGUAAAAUAACCAAUAGCUAAUAGCCACCUUAAAUAACCCAAAAAUUCCCCUAGGGCUUCUCGUACUAAGAUCAUCCUUAACGAUCGUACGAAAUUUUCAAACUAAUUUCUUGCAAGUUUUAUUUUAGGAAAGGUAUUUAAAGUCUGUUGUUUUCUCUGUCAUGCUUUUAAGCUCUGAUACCAGCUGUGGCGGAACCGCCUAAAUUAACUUGGCUAAAGCACACUUAAGUCGCCUAAACGCGAUCAUGUACUUUAAACAAGUCAACUUGGUCGUCCGUCGGAUUUCCUCCGAUAAAACCACGUAACGCAGGAUCGAGAAAGCAAAACUCACACGAUGGUGAGUGGUUACAGAGAUUACAACAGUCCAUCCAGAUUAAACAAAGUGCAUCAAUUUAUUACAACAUAAAGUUUAGAAAUUCAAACAUAGUUUGUAGAGUGUUCAAGCAGCGGAAAUAAAACGAACGGAAACUAAACGUCGAUGCAUGAUAUCAUGAAGAAGCCGAUCAUGACAUCACUGACCCCUGUCCUCACCGUCCGAGGAGGGAUCCCACUCGACCGUCCAACCCGGAGGGAGCUGGGUAGACCAAGAAGAACUAGCAGCGAACUCAGAAACAUCAUCCUCACCUGAAAAGAGGUGCCACAAACAAGGCUGAGCAACUAUGCUCAACAAGACUUAACCGACCUGUGGUACUAAUCCACUAACACCUAGACAUGUAAGCUUUUUGGCUCUGGGUUUUGUUUUGCCAAAAGCGACUAGUGUAGGUCCUUACUUUCAACAUUUUAGCCACCAGUUCUACUGUUGUUUAUCAUUCUAAGUUAGCAACUAUACUAAACAAGCAUAGUUUUCCAAGCAAUUAAUAACAAGUAACAAUAUUAUAUCAUCAUCAUCUUUCAUUCUUACUCAGUGUAGCAUAGCGAUCAAGUAGUCCCACACUGUGAGAGGCAGACGAAUCGAUUCGAAUUUAUUAACCAUGCAUGGCGAACCUAAUCCCACGACAUCCGCGCACCACGAAGGGUCGCUUCACUUGUCAGCCGUCCCCAUCGAUCCCUAGGUACGUGUCAGGUCCAAACUUCCUUUGGCAUGCAAUGCUCCACAGUCCCGGUCUCUACCGUACUAUGACCGCCAUUGCACCCACAUGAUGCACCAUGGGAACAACGUUCCAAGGAUAGCAGGGGUAUAAGCCACGUCCCAGUUCAAUCAGGUACUAGGCUUCCCCAUCCCAUACUAGGUAUGAGAUUAGUACUUUCAAACACUUGAUCACGAACACCAUCACCUUUCGACCUUAGUCCAAUUUCAAGUAGACAAACGGGGCAAACCACCGAGUACCAACAUAAGCCCGGCCCCGUCCAUCAUCCUUAUAGUUGCAACGAAAAUAAAAUCAUUCAACUCCUAUAACUCGCGAGUGACAGGAAAUCACUCGACUUUUACCGAGUCCUAUUUAGCAUUGCAUCUACUCGACUUCUUAUACUAGUGUUCAGAUCAAGGGGCACUAUAUUCAUGCAUCUAUGGUUUCAAUCAAUUCCUAUAAACGUAAAUGCAUAAUCAAAACAACCAAUAUAAUGCAAGUAUUUAAACAUAGGAAUUUAUGAUCCGGGGCUUGCCUUCACACUCGGAGUUAGCGAACUGGUCCUCGGCUUGCUCUAGCACGGGCUCGACUCCAGCGUGGUGUAGAUCCGCUACAGCUUCCUCUUCGGGCGUCGGGUGCAGCUCGUAUGUACCGUCGGCGAUGUUAACUUCUACAUGAAGGUGCAAAUGAUUCAACAUGCAAAACCAAGAGUCUGAAAGGCAUUUCAUAUAUUAUUCCUUUUUAUCUUUCUCUAAAAAGGAAAGAGGUUUUCAUUAACUUUCAAACCAAGUCUCAUAAUUUUCCUGUGAACUACACCUCAUUCCUGAAUUAUUCCAAGUGGUUUCAUAUUUUUAUCAUCUCUAGAUUUAUCAUUAUGCAAAAAGAAAAAUCUACCCGUAGAUUUCAAUUAAUAAACUAAAACAGUAACUUAAAUGUCUAAGCUAGGCUCUAAACCAUUUUUCUAAGCUUUUAUUCUCUAAAACAAACACUUGAGAGUUGGAUUUACCUUUUUAGCAUUUUUCUGUGAUUUGCUAUGAUUUAAACUAGCUUAAACAAGGAUUAAAUCAUAUAACAUUAAUUCUAACAGAGACAUGUGUAAACUUAUUUUUAUAUGAAACUACACAGAAUAUUGAGUCUAACAAAAUUUAUCUUGCAUUUUUAGCAUUUUUCUACACUUUUCUAUGCCUUUUUAAACUUUCAGCCUUUUUAGAUCUAGGGAAAAAAAAGAAAACCGAGGCAAUCUUCCAAUCUAGCCCUCCAGUCUAUGGGUUAAAUGCGUAGAGGCCCCUGGAUCUUGCGCCUACACCCCUGGACAAAAACCCACCUCAAACAUAAAUCCCACGAUUUUCCCCAUAACCCCCUGACUUUCUUUUCCACUCGCAACUAGACCCCUGGCCUUCUUCUUCCUCUGGAACAGAACGCACAGCACAGCAAAACAGACAGGCUUGGCCGGCGUUCGGGAUUGGGCCAGCGGCGGUAGGGGGAGGGCAGCGGGGCGGCUUGGGGGCGAGGAGGGGCUGCGAAGCAGGGCCAACGGCUCCCAGAAGCAGGUCCAGAGACGCGGAUCGCGGUGGCGCAGAAGGGGCUCCGCGGGCGGCGAGGAACGCCGUCGACAUGAGCGGGAACGAGCGCGGAAAGUUGACCCCAGAGGAAAUCGAGCGCGAGCAUGAUGAUCAGUGUCUUACCGCGGUUCCGUUUGAGUGGUUGGUUGACGACGAGGAUGACUGGAAGAUGGUGUUCCGCGGUGAGGCAGUGGGGGUGGCGGGUGGAGUUCCUGGAGUUGGGGAAAGUGGGAUUCCGGGCGAUGGGGUGGAUGGCAGGCGACGAGGAGUGUCCGAGGGUGUGGCUGAGGAAGUGGAGGAGCCUCAGGCGUGGGCUAUUAGACAGAGGCGGAGGGAGCUGGCCAGAUUUCGUCGGGGAACGGGAACCUCUCGAGCUGCCGGUUUGGGGCAAGAACUUUCUGUUGGAGGGCAUUGGGGCUUGGAAAGGAGGCAGGAUACUUGAGGAGGGUGGUUUGGAGGAUGGGGCGCUAGUACGCUGCUGCGGGGUGGACCGGCCACGGCGGGCACCAUUGGCGGAUAGGGGAGGCGACUUGGCGGGCGUGCUUGCAGGCGGGCGCCGCAGGCGAAGCAGGCAUGCACGGGUGAACGGCUCCAUCAGGGCGCUGCAGGCGAGGCCGAGGAGCUGUUGCGUCUUGUCUCGGGCGUACGUUGGCGAGCACGGCGGUGGUGGCGUGCCAGAGCGUCGCAGGGCGCGUGCGGAUAGAGCAGCGGCAGGGGGGGCAACUUGACGGGGCAGCGAUGAGGAGCACGUGCCACGGGGCGGCCGGCGAGGGGAGCGCGGCGCACGCGUGCUCGGCGUGAGCUCUGGUGCAGGAUUUGCGGGAUCGGACGAUAGGGCAAUCUUCGAGCGCGAUCUUCUCCAGAUUUUUGAACUGCACAACCCCUACCCCCUUUACAAAAGUUGUAGGCCUAGGAUCUAAGUUCAAUUCUUGUAAUUGUCUUGAUUUCAAAUUCGAACCCGAAUUGAAGAUAAAACGCUUCAAAGUUUGGCAAAAUCCGAAACUUUCAGACUUGAACACUUCAGCCAUUUUCGACAGUGUUGACCAUUUUAGCUGCGUUUGACCUCAUUUUUGAAAACCUUUUGUGCAGAUUUUGGCCUAAGCCCAAAAAUCAAAGUUGUUAAGGACUCGUAGCACUAAAACUUUCAUAAAAGGUUUGUCGUGAGCAUACAUUCGAAAAUGUGAGAAAAAGGGCUCCAAAGUUCUGACUUUAUUUGAUCUGCACCUUUCGGCCCAGAUUUGUAAUUCGAUAUUUUGACCCUUUUCUGAUCAGUUUCAAGCAAAACGAUAAUUACAAAAGUUGUUAGAAUUUGUGAGUUAUACAACUCUUAGUUAGGCAUAUUUUUAAGUUCUUAAGAAAAAAAUUGAGUUAUGGCUUAAACACAUGUUUAGCUCGUGAGGGGCAAAAGGGGUCAUUUUACUUGGGUGCAAGGCUGUUCAUUGGUUCCAUUAAGCUCUAAUGACUUCACUUAAGCUCAAAGAAGGUAAAUUUUGGCGCAUUUGCUACAGUCGGGUAAAAUGACAUUUGCAGGAACUGACUUGAGGCUCUGCUCUUAUUUUUCAUAGUUAGAAAUAUCGCAUUUGUACGAGCGGACCACUCCUGCACAUCCUUUCCUUUUAGGACAGGUGACUUUAUGGCCUGCCCUCGAAAUUGAUUAAAAAAUAAAAAAUUGCCCGCACAGCUUGCCUGCUGCCACCUGCACGCUUGCCGCUCGCCAGGCCGCGUGCCGGCCGCGCCGCUCACACGGCUGUCGCCGCCAUUGCCCACGAAGCCGCGAUGCUGCCCCCGCCCGGCCGCCCUAGGGCAUGGGAGCCACACGCCAGGGUGCAGGGGGCUCCACCAAGGCCGCCCACCGACAUUGCAGUGCAGCGUGUCCUGAUCUCGACACGACCAAGAACUGGUCGGUUAUGAGUUCAAACCUCCUUAACCAUGUCGGCAGCCGGUUGUGCUUUGCCAAAGCCUUCCAUGUUCUGAGCGACACAAUGGAGGAAUCAGAGGAAAAUAUUAUUCAGACUUCAACCCUGACUGGGAAACAGAUAACCCUGAUUUUGCUGUGCUCAUCAGCGUCAAGCUGGUUAGCGGCUGCAGUGGCGGCGGUGAGAGUAAACUGCAAGGGCUCAGGAUAGUCAAUCACAAGUCCUGUUACUUCUCUAUGCAAGAAGCAAGAUAAAAUCGAGUGGGCGCUAUAGAUCAGAUUUUUUUUUCCGAAACAAGCUAUAAAUCAGAUUUAGUAGUUGUUGCAUUGGCCGGUCGAGAAUUUUCCUCCCCAUUGUAGUUUGAACAUCCAUUCCUACUGCAGAUGAAUUUUAGCUUAUCUUGUAAGAGGCUGUUGGUGAAACUGGUAAUUUGAGGUGUUCAUCUGGCUUUGGGCUCACAUACGAACUGAAACUGUGUGCGCCUGAAUUUGGCCUUCCACUCAAAUUCCAUAAGUUCCUUUACAAAUGGCCUAAAGUUUUCUCUCUCUGUCAAUGGAUAUUCCUAUUCAUCUUAACAGCUGCUUUACCAGAAAGAUUAAGGGCGGUCAAAAGAAUCUGAACAUUUUACUUCAAGGAAAAAACAUCCAAUUCCAACAAUUAAUGUGUAGAGUCCAGACUCCAGAGGCCACUUUUAAACUGCAGCAGCACCAGCACACCAGGAGUUUCAUGUUAACUAGUGUUUGGCGCGCGCCGGGGCGUGCGUAUAAUGUUGUGACAGCAAUAUUUUUCGUUAUAGAUGUCAAACUUCGUCUGGCUCUAUGUCAAUAUGCUUGAAACUGAAGUAUCAUGCAUGGCUCUCUCAUAUCAAACUGGAUGCAUGCCGAGGUUAUUACCCUUUGUAUGUCCCUUGUGUAUAUUUUGCCAGCAUACAUGUCUGGUGCUAAGAUUGAUGUAUAAAUUAUCGAUAACAUAGAUGUAAAGAAAUGUGUAGAAUUGUCCAUGCACGGGUAUGAUGGGUACUAUGAUAACUCGGUGGCUAGACAGAAACAAUCUCUUGCUCCAAUAUACUUCAAUGUGAUCACUGAUCCUUUGUAAAUUUUGUGCCACAACUAUCAAUUUGGCAAUCCGUAUAGAAAGAUACAGUGUUAGAAGUUAGAAACACAACAAUUCAGUGAUCUGAAUGUGAUGUUAGAAAUCUAUCAACAUGAUCACAUAUUAUCAGGUGAAAGUAACAUCGAUAUACGUACAUAUUAAAAAGAAGAUAUUAGAACCAUAUUGCUAACCUUUUUGGUAGAACAUUUGUAGCAAAAUGCAAAACUAAAAGGAGUGUUGUUUAAAGAAGAUAAAACUGAUAAAGGUCACAUAUCUUUUAUCAGAAGCUGAUAAGUGAAAUAUAUAUAUAUUGAACCCUAUUCUAAACGCUACUUGUACGUCAAUAGAUUCCUAAUUUUUAAGAAUCACCAUGUCUAAAAAUACACACUGAUUUUUAAUUCAAUCUCGAAAUAGGCAAAUGUGUCAAAAAGUUCAGGUUCAAUUAUAGCAUGCUAAUGAGUUACGGAACUGGUAAUCAGAGGUCACCAAGCGUGAUUCAUUUUGGUAUGCAGUCAAAUAGGCUGUGUACAUAUGCAUAUGCAUGUGAUGGCACUGAGCAUCAGAGAUCAAUGGUAGGGCAUGCAAUGCACUCACCUUGGCAGUAUGCGAAAUGGAUGGUCUGGGCAUGGGCUAAACUUAUUUCAGCACUGCAGCUCCCUUUUGACGUUCUCCAUCCAUCGUGCUAGCCCCUCUACGGUACUUAGCUUGACUGGUACAUAUUGACAUAUGUAAUGUUCCAUCACUGAUUGCUUCCUGGCAUAUGCAAUGUUCAGUCAUCCUGACCAGUACACAUUUUUUGGGAGCCAGUUUAGUUCAGGUCUCUAUGGAAAUUUUGCUGAGGCAAUAGUUUUUUUUGAUGAAACAGGAGGGAGGUACCUCUGCUAAUUAUAUAAAUAAUUUAAAGGAGUACAAAUUACAAAGGUUCAAAUCAUGAAACCCAGAAGGUGUGAAAGAAAAUAAGAAAGAUUACAAUUGUGUGCUCUAGCCAUUGAGACAUGGGUUCUUCCCAGACUUCCUUUACUCUAUGAACAACUAGAGCGUAGACUGAUUUGAAUCGAAAUCUAUGAACAACUAGAGCGUAGACUGAUUUGAAUCGAAAUGUGGUUCCUUGAAUUGUUGGAGAGAUGUUCUUGAAAAUCCAAUCGUUUCUAGCCAUCCAAAUGCUCCAACACAUGAUGAUUAUAAUUUCCAUGGAAAAAGGAACUUGUAGUUGAGCUCUGAAGCUUUCCAAAAUGAAGUAUGGCUCAAGUUGCAGAUCAGGAAAUAAACUUAUUUGUAUCCAGCACUCCUGUGCAAAGGGACAUUCAAGUAGAAGAUGAAAAAGAGUUUCCUCACUGUCAUGUACGUGGACAUAACACACAGGCAUAAGAUGGCAAGGCCAUGUGUUUUCUUCGGAGGACAUCACGCGUGCUAAGCCUGUCCUUUAAGACCAGCUAGAAAAACACUUUGUGCUUAUUUUGACACCUUGAUUUCCAAAGCCAAUUAAAAACCUGACGAACCUGUCUUUGUCCAGUAAGAUAUUUAUAAGCCUUAGAUGAGGAGAACAAAGCAUUUCCCCAUAUGUAUGUCCAAGUAUCUGAAUCAUCAUUAGAGAGGGGCAAAUCUUCUAGGUCAGCAGCUAGUUGAAACAGCUGAUCAUUGAAAGCUUGAGAGGGCAGUGGGCAGUGGCAGGUGAAAAAGUUGCUGUAGAUCCGCAAUUUGAUAUGCUCUUUGAAGUGUGAUUUGGGCUGAUAAAUCACACUAGAUGUAGCUCGAAUAAGUCGAAGAUGAUCACUACUUCUAUGUAUUCCUGCAUAAUCAAACCAUGUUGUAAUCAAAUGGUUAAUUUUACUUAUUGUUCUCUGAAUUUUAAGGAAAAUAUAGAGGAAUCUUCAUAGUAGCUGAUGCAGUACAAAUGUAGUGCUGAAUAUUGAAUUUUGAAUGCAAUAAACAUACUUCCAAGGUGACCCCAAUUUGACAUUGAUGUAUUGGUAGGUUUCCUCUGCUACUUGCUAGUCAUUCCAUGUUAUACAGCUCCUCAUGGAUGCUGUAAGAAUUCAUCAGUGAAUUUAGAAAUUCGAGUGCGAGUAGAACAUAUUUUCAGAACAGUCAAUUGAUGGAAAAGUUGCAGAGGAUAUCCUUUUCUGUUCUACACUCUAACAAAAGCAUUCAUUUUUUUAAUAAAAAGCAGAACUGGACUAAUUUAGGCAAUGAUCAUACAACUUAUGUUUGGUUGUUCUUUCUUCUACCUGUUUGAGGACCUGAAGUUACUUGCAUUAGUUCUUCAUUCUGCUUGUCCAAUGUGAGUAAGAAUUAUAACUCCAGGGAUAAUGAAGUGAAUUGCAAGAAAAUAAACAAACUAAGGUUGUGCUUAAAAUAGCAUAACAUAUAUGAUUGGCAGUAAAAGCCAUGGGAAAUUGGGAGGUGACGUAAGGAGUGAUGCAUGGAUUGAUGAUUCACGCCGAAACUUCUGCUACGUAUGUCAUAGUUGGUGAAGUCGAAAACGUUGUCAUCCUCCACCAGAUCACCUGGGCUGCUGGGCAGUGGCACCCCGGACCACCUUGCUGAUGCAAGCCACGUUUGUGAUCCAUUGAUAGAUGGUUAAGUUCUGCAGAUCAGGAGAGGAUGGCAGAACCAUUAUUGGUGAUUGCCAUUACGUGUAGGUUGAAUGCUGGUGAUGGCCAAGCACAACCCUAAGGGAGGUCCCUGAUGGGAGGAGUAAAGCGUUAACAAUUUUAUUUGUAGGAAAAAGAAAAGUCCUUCUCACAUCAUUUAACAAGGCUAAACAAAAGGAUAUAGAUAGCUCAUGAAUAACCAAAUGUGAGAAGCCUUUCAAGUACUUUUAAUCGAGAUAGAAAGGAAACAUUGUGGAGAUAUUUGGGAAAGUAUACGCACUACAGUUGUAUUAUUUCAUCAAAAUUAUAAGAGCUCUAAACAUAUAUAAUAAUGAAAAAAUUUCUGGACGAAGGACAAUGACAGAGCAUAGCACAAGAAAGAAACAACAACAUGCCUUUCUUCUAGCAUUGCAGGUCUUCUAGAUCCUAAGAAUUUUUUACUCUGUUUCAUAGGGAAUUCAACAUCAUAUAUUUGUAACUUCUUUCAACGCGAACCAGUUAGCCUCCCAAAAUGAUUCUCUAGACGUCUUAUACAUUGCAAACAAGCAAUGGCAUUGAUGGUAGUAGGGUACUGCAAAAUAUGAUGCCAAGCGUAGGUAAACUACUAACAAAUGCCUAGAAACUUGGCACGACUGGCAUACUCAGCAAGGAAAGCUUCUUUUGGAAGGAAAAAACUCUUACCUCGAAAGUAAGGCUGUUACAUUCUAAAUUGUGUAAAUAGACAUGGUUGGGAAGCUGCAUAUCCGAUUAUACACUUGACGUGAACAUAUCAUGCUAACAAAUUAAAGAGUAAAAUAUUGCAACAUAAACUAAGUGCUCCUGCAAAGGAAGUGCAAUUUUUUUUCAGUAUCACAAAUAAGGAUACAACACAAUAUAAUGUAGGAAUUUACUGAGGCCUGUUGACCAUUUAGAAGCAGAAUUUUGCACAGGUUCCUAACAUACCAUGUAAAAUCACCAAAAUGGACCGUAUUCCUGACAAUUCCAUGUAUUUGUUGUAAUUUAGAUAUAAUUUGUUAAGAACAUUUGAAUGGCCUGAAAAAAAAUCAAGAAGUAAAUAAGAAAAAUGAAGAGACACUUUCAUACACAUAACAUCUACCUAAAUUAUCCUCUGGCCGCUUACCUAUGGAACCCUGGCUCUCACGAUCCUUCUUCUUCCUCACGGAAGCUGCUGAAAGUGGCAGUUUGCCUCUAGCACGGGAUCAGCCUGGGAUCUUUCUUUCGUGCAAUCCACCCAUGGGAGCUGCUGUCAUGUCGAUCUGAUGGCUAGCAAGAAGCACACCGGCUUCCCCAUCUUGUCUGCACGACUGCGCCGGCAAUGGCAAGGGAAGCGGACUGCGACAGGGGAGGCGGCAGGAUAGGAGGCAAUAAGCCAAUAAGGCAGGGGCGUCGCGGCGUGGAAGGGGAGGCGACCAGGUGUGGCGGCGAGAAUGCUGAGAGGAGAGGAGAGAGCAGAGCGGCGCCAUGGAAGGAAGUCAGAGGAUUGAUUGAAAGGCAGCCGUCGGGGUGAACCGAGAAGACGGGAAGGUUAGAGCUUGCAAUAUUUUUCAACUGGACGAAUCGCGAUUGGCCACGGAGAGCCGUAAAAUUCGAUCAGAUCGAAUGGUGCAAGUUUUUUCUUUUACUGAUGCGGACCAAUUAGCUGGCCACCGAGGGCGCCUCGUUUCAUAUCAAGGAAAAUGAAUGCAAUUACUUUUUCCGGCUUAUGUUUCUUUGCCACACAUGUAACCUUCUGUACUGAAACUGAACCAUGAAAAUUCCAAUAUAUUACAGUUCCCAACGUCUGCCUCAAAAGCUGAAACACUGCACGUGGGCAAUCUUGUCCAAGUCAAAUUAAUUAAACUGAAACAGAUCGAUAAUCUUUAUCGGUCGAAAAUUGACGAGUGGUUGUGUCAGGACGAAAGAACAGUGGCUCAAGUGCUCAACCAAUCCAAAACAUAAAUACGAAAGACAUUUCCCAAAGUAAAGCCCAUGAUAUGACUUCAACUACAACCAAACUUUCUAUUGCGGCAGCAAACGGAAAUGAGUUUUGGGUGUGCAUUGCAUGUAUAAAUGGAUCGCAAUGCAUUAUUUGAUGCACACGAUAACUUUGGUCCACUACUUAACACACUAUGACUGAAAAGGUUCGUCAACAUAAUGACAACGUGAAUUAUUCUACUGCAAGUGCUUUUGUACCACGGGGAGUGGCAGGAUCACUUGCGCAAGUUCAAAUAAGAAGAGGAAGCCGGCGAUGAUGAACGCGGCGAGGUAUACGGGAUCCCUGCAGUACUUGUGAUAGAAGGACCCCAUGAAGUUGCGCGGGUAAUUGCAGAGGGUGUGCAGCUCGUGCCAAUAUGGCUUGAGGUAGUUCCUGUCGUCUCUGUCGAUGUCCAAGACCACCCCCUUGCAUAGGUUGGCGAAGCCUUGAGCGACCUCCUCGUCGUUCACCAGGAACUGUUCCAGGAUCUCUUCGUGCUGUAGCAACUCGACGUCCUCCACCUUGCACGCCACCUGCGACAUGAAGACACAGUACGCCGUGACGGGCUUAUUGGGUGUCAGCUCCUCCAACGCCAUCAGGUUUCGCAGGACCGUCCACGUCAUGCCAUCAACCCGCAGGCGGGGGACCCACAGCGUGCCUCCUUGAAGGCGCACGUCGAGGAAGGUCCACUUCUCAUUGUCCUUGAAGACCCGACGCUUGAACCGCACGUUGCCGUACUUGCAGUACUCCGUCGCGCGGCGCCACCGACUCGUGCGAGGGCGUGCAGCGUUCUCUUCCAUGGCCGGAGGUGGACUAGUUGGCUGCAAGUAGAAGUGCAAUAAGUGCAGCAGGUGGGAUGGCAGCGGCGUCAGAGGCGGAGCCGGCCGCCGGUGCUUGCUGAUGUAGAGCUGUGCCUGCAGCACCUCCUGGACAUAAUCUGCUAUGGGUUUCAGGACGGAGCUGGUGGUGGUAUCACCUGUGACGCGCUCAUGGAUCUUCUGUAGCACGAAGAAAGGUAUCUGGUUAUCAGCGAGGAAGACGGUGUCGCGCACCACCGUGUUGUUGUGGACGCAGGAGCUGGUUAUUAUUCGAUUUGGUGUUUGCGUGGACGACUGUAUCGCAUUGUUGGUACCAUGAGGGGUGCCAUUAUGAACAUUAUUUUCAAUGGUUUCUUGAUCAUUUCCUGUUUCUGUUGACGCCGUUGUAUUGUUGCUCGAUGCAGGCGUCCCAUGAUCUGAGGCGCCACUGUUUUCUUGAUCACUUCCUGUUGGUGUGGACACCGCUGCGUUGUGGCUUGAUGCAGGCAUCCCAUGAGGGGCGCCACUAUUGACAUUAUUUCCACUAGUUUCUUGAUCAUUUCCUGUUGGUGUCAAUGCCGUUGUAUUGUUGCUUGAUGUAGGCGUCCCAUGAGGGGUGGUGCCACUGUUGACAUUAUUUCCACCACUUUCUUGAUCAUUUCCCGCUGGUGUGGACGCCACUGCGUUGUUGCUUGAUGCAGGCAUCCCAUAAGAGGUGUCAUUGUUGACAUCAUUUCCACCCUUGUAGACCACCAUGCAACCGAGCAGGUAGCACCCAUCAUGCAGCAACAUUGUCCACAACUGUUCCGUCGUCAUGUGGCCCACCCGCCUGCUGCUGGGAUAGCAAGCCCUCACUAGGGGUUCCAGUUCCUCCUUUAGACCCUCAAGACCACCACCUCCCCUUUGCUGCUCGGAGAGCUUCCGAAGGUGACAUACAGAAUCCUUCUUCUCCUUUUCAAUCCCUGAGGACGGGCACAUGUCAUGGUAAGGGCCGAUCGGCACGUCGUGCGGUGUGUAGCUGUUUUCGUCGAUGACACUGAGUUGCUUUCGGACCUUAGGGAUGACUAUUAUGCUGGCCUGCACCCCUGUCCCUGCUCCCCAAGCAGUAAAAGAAAAUCAGUAAAUAAGAAUUAUCGCACUCACCAAUAAAUAUCUGAGACGUCAACAAAUUUCGGCAACAUUUUUCUCCUUAAUUUUUUUGGGUAUGAUUUCGCUAGAAACUGCAUCUAAUCCAUCAUAUAUUAUAAUUAUAUAUAUAAUAAUAUGACAAUAAAUCACAAGUUCAACACAUACAUAGACUCAUUGCACGGAAUUGGAGUAAAUCGAAGUUAUCAGAUCCCAAUUAUAAAUAUGAAAUUUUGAAAACAUCACAAAAGAAUUUUCCCCUAACCCCAUGUCUCUACUGGAGGUAACAUCUGAGCAUUUCGAUCCUAGAACUAAUCUGUCCACUACAGCCACCGAUUUGAAAAUUACAAAAAGAAGUACAGAGUUCUUUAAAUGUAAGAUCAUCACUAUACUAGAUUGCUAGGUAUGACUAGGAAAGAUAUAAGAUUUCAGCUAGAUCUUUCGUCUCUAUGACAGUUUAGUUCCCUCCAAACUCCCAACUUUGACACUAUGCAAAAAGAAGAUUCCCCAUCAGAGCAAACUUGCGGUACAUGCAUGGAGUACUAAAUGUAGACGAAAUAAAAAACUAAUUGCACAGUUUUGUUGUACUUUGUGAGACGAAUCUUUUGAGCCUAAUUAGUCAAUAUUUGGACAAUAAUUCACAAAUACAAACGAAACGCUACAGUUGCGCAUUUAUGGUAAAAUGCUAAUUUUGCUACUCCCAAAUUGGAAACUAAACAAGGCCCUAUUAACCACUACUUGGGUAUGGAUGCAACAUGACUGAAGACAAUAUGUCGUACUGUAGGUCAUCAUGCCAACUUGGAGGGCACGCACGUGCUUAGGUUACUUUGUAGUGGAACUUACAUAUUACAUAUGUGGGUUUGAGUUCGACUCAGCACCAAGGCUCAUAUUUCCUAUACUUAUUCCAGGAUUUAGCCACCCUAUUGUUUUCAUGGUAGAGGUGACAUGAGACCGUGGUCACUUUGUCAAUCUUAUAAUCUACCGGUCUAGUCUCUUAAUGGUACUCAAAUUUAUAGAUGAUCUUUAAUACUUACAUCUUUUAACAUUACUAGCCCAUGUAUAGUUUGGGUUGAUGUACUAGUAAAUGCUAGUUUCAGUAACCAGGAGGGUUAUCUUAUAAUUUUAACAGAUAGAAUCUAUGCUCAUCUUCUUCCUUUCUAAUUAACUAAAUUUUCAAAAAUUAAGAUAAGUUCUUUGUCAAUAGGAUGUAUUCCUUACAACCUUAGGCAUGUAUAGGAAAAAAAAUGAAUUGUGGAUGCAGGAUAAGAGAAGACUAUGUGGCAUAAAAAGAACCCAUACCUAAAAAUUGAUGAUCAAGAUUUUACCAUAUAUUUCCUUUUAUUGGUUAUUGAUUGAACACACACACACCUUUUGGCCUAGACAAUUUUGAAUCACUGUAUUUCAAUGUUACAGCUGAGAAAAGGUAUGCCAGGAUUAAAUGUCCAGAAACCUUACUUUAAUGAAUUCAUUUUGAUUUAUUCUAUCCUAUUGAAAUAAAUUAAAUAAAUAGACCACAUGUGGCGCAGCUACCAUAAACUCUUUUAUUUAUUUUUGGGCUCUUAUAGAGCAUAUUCUACUAUAACUUGACAUUAGAAACUAUUAUUUAUAUAGUAAAGUGAAAUAAGAUAAUAAUAAACAUUCAGGAUUGAGGGGCUUGAGUUAAUUAUUAUGGAAGGAUUUAUUACUCAAAACAUAUUGUAUGAGUUCACUUAAUAUUUAUAUUAACAAUUCAAAAUGAACCAAAAAUAAAGAAAUUUUCUCGAAAUAAUAAUCGAACUUUAUUGAAAAAUGGAAUUUUCUCACAUACAACUAAAAAAUUAAACAACUAAAAAAUUAAGUAUUUAACUCUAGAUCAUAAAUAAAGACAAAUAAAUUUAGCUUAUUCCAUGUAAAUGACGAAAUAUAUCAAAUUCCCUCUUAACAUUAAUAAAAUGUCUAGGGUCUGAGGUUUUGGGAUGUUGUAGGACCCAUACCACUUGGCUCAGUUCGGCUUUCUGUUGUGCUAGUAUCUGCCAUAACCUGGCCCAUGUCAUGGGUUAUAUCUGAAGUCCUUGCAUGUCCACAUCACAUUUAAUCAGUUUGUAGAAUAAGUACGAACCAUGCAUUGAUGGACUAAUUGACUUGUAACAAAUUUAACUAUUUAUAAAUUUUUGACCUUAACAUAUUAAAACAAGUGGCCUGCUAGGUGCACUUGCAACUUUUACGAACCCAGAGUUGAAUUUUGCAAUGCCAAAAUAUACGCUAAACAAAAAUUUGGUGAAAUAAAUUUUUCUACUAAUUGGAUUCCUACAAAAAAAACCUAGCUAGUAUUUUUCUGAGCAACUAAUUGUGAGUAACUCCGUAACUUUAUUUUGGCAUGAUUUUUCUAGAAAUUGCCUCUAAUCCAUCUUAUAUUAUUAUUAUAUAUAUAGUAAUGAUGGAACGUGACAAUAAAUCACAAGUUCAACACAUUACAUAGACUCAUUGCAGAAAUCGGAGUAAAUUGAUCGAAGUUAUCGGAUCCCACUUAUAAAUACGAAAUUUUGAAAACAUCACAAAAGAAUUUUCCCCUGCCCCCCAUGUCUCUACUGGAGGUAACAUCUGACCAUUUCAAUCCCAGAACUAACCGUCCACCACAGCCAACGAUUUGAAUAUUACAAAAAGAAGUACAGAGUUCUUUAAAUGUAAGAUCAUCACUAUACUAGAUUGCUAGGUAUGACUAGGAAAGCUAUAAGAUUUCAGCUAGAUCAUUCAUGUCUAUGACAUCUAACCAGUACUUGGGUAUAGAUGCAAUAUGAGAGAAGACAAUAUGUCGUGCUGUAGGUCAUCAUACCAACUUGGAGGGCACGCACGUACUUAGUAGGUCACUUUGUGGUGUUACUUACAUAUUACAUAGGUGGGUUUGAGUGCCACUCAGCACCAAUGCUCAUAUUUCCAGUACAUAUUAUUCCAGGAUUUAGCAACGCUAUUGUUUUCAUGGUAGAGGUGACAUGAGACCAUGGUCGAUCACUUCGCCAAUCUUAUCAUGUACCGGCCUAGUCUCUCGAUGGUACUCAUAUAUAUAUCUAUAGGUGAUCUUUAAUACGUACAGAAUUUAACAUUACUAUAGCCCAUGCACGAGCACGUUUUGAUGUACUAGUAUAUCCUAGUUAAUUUCCGUAACCAGGAGGGUUAUCUUAUAAUCUUAACAGAUAGAAUCUAUGCUCAUCUUCUUCCUUUAUAAUUAAUUAAAAUUUCAAAAUUUAAGGUAAGUUCUUUGUCAAUAGGAUGUAUUCCUUACAACUUUAGGCAUAUAUAGGAAAAAUAAUGAAGUGUGGAUGCGAGAUUAGAGAAGACUAUGUGGCAUACAAAGAACCCUCAUCUAAAAAUUGACGAUUGAGAUUUUACCAUAUGGUUCCUUUAAUUUGUUAUUGAUUGAACAUACCCACCUUUUGGCCUAGACAAUUUUGAAUCACUGUAUUUCAAUGUUACAGCUGAGAAAUGAUAUGCUCGGAUUAAAUGUCCAUAAACCAUUCUUAUAUAAAAUUACUUUAAUGAAUUCAUUUUGAUUUAUGCUGUCCUAUUGAAAUAAAUUAAAUAAAUAGCUAGAUCACAUAUGGAGAAGCUACUGUAAACUCUUUUAUUUAUUUUUGGGCUAUUAUAGAGCGUAUUCUAUUAUAACAUAAGUUUCAAAACUGUUUUUUAUAUGGUAAAGUGAAAUAAGAUCAUAAUAAACAUUCACGAUCGAGGGGCUUGAGUUAAUAUUAAUGAAGGAUUUAUUACUGAAACAGAUUGCAUGAGUUCACUUAAUAUUUAUAUUAACAAUUCAAAAUGAAACAAAAAUAAUGAAAUUUUAUAAAAAUUAUAGUCGAACUUUAUUAAUUGUAAAAUGGGAUUAUCAAAGAUACAUUCUAACUUUAUUUUGGGAAACUUUCUCACGUACAACUAAAAUAUUAAGUAUUUUAAACUAUAGAUCUUAAAUAAAGACAAAUAAAUUUAGCUUAUUCCAUAUAAAUGACCAAAUAUAUCCAAAUCGCUCUUAACAUUAAUAACAUGUCUAGGGUCUGAGGUUUUGGGAUGUUAUAGAACCCAUACCACUUGGCGCCGUUCGUCUUUCUCUUGUGCUAGUAUCUGCCAUAACCUGGUCCAUGUCAUGGGUUAUAUCUGAAGUCCCUGCAUGUCCACAUCACAUUUAAUCAGGUGUUAGAAUAAGUAUGAAUCAUGCAUUGAUGAUCUAAUUCCAUAUAAAUGACGGUACCAAAUUUGCACUUAACAUUAUUGAUAUGCCUAGGGUGAAGUUUUGGGAUGUUAUAGGAUCCAUACCACUUGACUCACUUCCUCCUCUUGUGCUGGUCUCAGCGAUAAACUGGCCCAUUUCAAUGUUUAUAUGUAAAGUCCCUGCAUGUAAUAUCAGAUUUAUUUAAUCCGUAAGCAUGCAUUGAUGGUCUAUUUGAAUUCCAAUAAAUUUAAUUAUUUACAACCUUUUGACAUUAACAUAUAAAAACAAGUGGUCUGCUAGGUUUGCUUUCAACAUUUACAAAGCCAGAAUUAAAUUUCAUACACUACUAGAAAUAUGACCUCUCGUCCCGAGCAUUUGUACCUGUUAAGUUUGGAUCCGGUACUAAUGUUAGUAUUAGUACCAGUUCCAUGUUUGGGAGCUUCCGGAGACCCUCUAGUACCAGAUGGGGGUUGACCUCUAGUACUGGUUGGAGCCCCGACCCGGUACUAAAGGGUGACCUCUAGUACCGGAUGGAGCCCCCUUCCGGUACUAGAGGGUCUCCUGUCCCCCCACCGCGUGGUGCGUGCAAACACUUAGAUUCUUUUAUCCCCCGUCCCCCCACUACGCGACGUGCCCCUCCCUUAUCUCUCCUCAUCCUCUCUGCCUCCCUCUUGUUCCGUCUGUCUCUCUCCUCUCUCUCUCUCUCCCUUCCUCUUCCUAGCUCCUUGUGCUCUCACCAGCCAGCCCCUUGCCUCCCCUCCCCUCCCCCCUCACUCGUCCCUCACCGGUGGUGAGGAGCGGUGGCAGCGGCGGCGUAGGAGGAGCGGGGCGGAGCCGCGGCGAUGGGGCGGGCGGAGGCAGAGGAGCAAGCGGGGAGGCAGAGCAGUGGCGGAUGUGGAGGGGAGGCGGGGUUGGAGGACGGCAGGGGCGGCAGAGGGAGGUCGGGGCCGGUGGCAGGCGGAGGGGCUGGUGGGGGCCUCCAGCGGGGCAGCGGGGGUGGGGGGCAGGGGCGGCGCGGGUGAUUUCUUUUUUAAAAUUUUUUUUAAUAACCUCUAGUACCAGUUAUUCCAACUGGUACUAGAGGACCCCCCUCUAGUACCGAUUGCCUAGUACCAGUUGUGCAACAAGUACUAGAGGUGGGAGGUUUCUAACCGGUACAAGAGGCGUUUUUUCUAGUAGUGAUAUUGCCAUUAAACAAAACUGGGUCAAAUAAUUUUAUCUAGUGAUUGGAUUUCUACAAAAACAAAGAUUUAGCUAGUAUUUUUUGUCAAUGCAAAGUUGAGCAUGCCAAGAUUUUGAGAACCACUAAUGGAGAACCAUUUUUUGCCUUCUUUUAGAAAAUGACUGUAAGGGAGGCCCCAACUCUAUAAAUGUGGAGAACAAUGUUUUGAACCUUGAUGGGUGCAGUCGUGCACCUGCCACUCCACUACCGCACGAAGAGGUGGUUCCCGGACAAUUUUUUUAGGCAAGAUAAAGUCGAAGUUGUUAUGUGUAUGAAGGUCAUAUCAGCUUGAAUUUUUAGUCCAAAUAAAGGUCCUAUCUUGCUCCUUUUAAUUAACUAAAAACAACCUAAGAACUUUCGGCCAGAUACAUCACCUAGAUGAUGACAUGUUUCUGUUUUCCUAUAAAUGAAAAGGAACAAAUGAAUAUAAAUGUUUCUAUUGGUUGGUACAAUUCGAAAUAAAAUGGAGAAACAUGAACAUUAAUUUCUCUCUGCAAGAAAAUUAAAAGUAACGAGGAAGUAUUCAGUAAAUUUUAGACCUGGAAAUGGUGUUAGCAUCAUUUUUUGCAAGCCAUUGAUGGACUAUCCUUCAUGUGACAAGCGCUUUGCAAUGGGCACUUCAGUUAGUUCCCAAAUUAAAUUGAUAUAUUUGAAUCAAUAAAAUCGAUGAACUUCAUUUAAAAAAUAAUUCAGCACAAAAAAUGUUCCUUACUCUACAUUAAAUAUAGAUACAAAUAUUUUGCUUCGUAUCUUAUCCUUACACUAGACAUCCCAUACUCCCCCUGUUGAUAUUCAUUGCUAAAUUAACUUUUGUAAAACUCUCUCUCUCUCUCUCUCUCUCUCUCUCUCUCUCUCUCUCUCUCUCUCUCUCUCUCUCUCUCUCUCUCUCUCUCUCUCUAGCUCUGUGUGCGCGCUUGCUUGCUUGCUUGUUUUUUUGAAGGAACCUCUUUCCAAUUCUUACAUGCCAUCACUGACUUUUUGAUGCCUCUGCACGGGUGCCAAAGAAGGUUCGGGUCCCUUAACUGGAACAAUUUCUUUUGUUUCACAAUCACACAUUCUUACAAAAUUGCUCAAUUAAAGGGUUUAGCCAUCCAAGGAAAGAAGGAGAAAAAGAUUCUUUGUCUAAAGACUAUUUCACAUUUCUUUUACUAAAAAUUAUUGUCGAUAAUGCUUUCUUACGGAAACUCUACUAAUCUAGAGAAGUAGCCGCAUCAAAAAAAAUUCCGUUUUCCUGUGACAUUUGUGUCUUUGGAACUCAGCCGGGGAUUUAAUCACAUACUGUACAUAGAUAUAGUUCCAUCCCUUUGGUUUGCAUUGGACAUAAACAUAACAAUAUUUUAUUUGUGGGAGUGCUACGAUGACAACGAUAGCUUUCUUUUCCGGACAAAAUAUAGAUGUUGUAAAAAGAUGAUUGAGAUUUGGUUGUGAUCAAAUGAUCGAAAUGUAGGAAUACCUCUUGCAUGGGGUGUACAAUUGAGAUAUUUCCAUAUGCGAUUGAUGUUAAGAUCUAACUAGUUGGGAGAAAUAGGCGGCUCUUCUUUAAAUUUUGUUUCUACAUAAUCGUGUCCCACUUGGAAUUCCAUGAAAUCAAAAUGAAAAGUUUACAUUAUUUACCGUACCCUGAAAACAGUUAGAGUAAAUAAACCACACAUCUUAAUAAUCUUCUAAAACAGGCAACAUCGCUAAAAAAUGAACUGCACAAUAAUUCUCUACAAUAUCCUAAUAAGCAUAGUUAAUGCAUGCAGUACAUAACUAAAAUUGACGAUAUUUACUUGUUACCUUGCGCCAUUGCACUCGGCAGUGGACGACACUCUCAAUGCAAGCUACCUUAGCUUGAUCGCUACUGACCCCGGCCGUCUUUGUGAUUGGUACAGUAGUGCUGUCGUUGGUUGUUACGGAAGCUCGUUAUAUACUUAGCCCAUCACAACAUGCAUUUAAUUACGUAUGUAAUUUGUCCACAUGAGCCGAAACAAAAAGGUGAAAGCAUGUGCAAGCACGAGGGCGUGCAGGCGAAUAGACCGGAGCAACUGACAACAGCAUGCACAACCGGACUAGAAUGUGGCCGGCGGCCGGCUUUAUUCCGUUUGCCAGGCCGUUUAGCCCGCUUUUGCGUAACUAAUUAUAUGGACUAGAUCUCGUUCGUCCAGUCAUUCGCGUUGACGACCCCCAUUAUUGGUCGUGCUCUAACCAUAACCUAUGCGUGUGGUCCAAAAAAAGUUGUUUUGUGAAAUCAAGGCAUGCAUACCUGGCCCACACGUAUGGCAAAAGGCCGAAAUCUGAAUUCUGAAAGUGCACACCAGUUUCGCUAUUACGUAUCGUACUUAGGCCUCUGGAGAAACUCCCGCCAAAAAUCACAAGAGUACGUAAGAAUGCUUCAUGCAUGAAACCAUGUAAAAUCAUUUUCAGACUACACGUAUUUUUUUAAGGCAAGAAAAAGGCAAAUUAGAUUACGAGUAGUGUUAUUAGAACAUGCUUUCCUAUUCCAGUGGCAAUAUAGAGUCCGAUGCGACUACCUCCCUUUUUUUUUUUAUCUUGCGAAAUAAAUUGAGUUUCUACGAAAUUUUGCCUGCGCGGCGUGAAGGCCGCACCAUCGUCGUAGCCGAUUGGGUUGGCUGGUUGGCCUGGGGCUCCUAUCUGGCUCGUGGAAGCCGAUAGCAGCCAUGGCUUAGAGCUCAAUACCUGACUUAGUUCCUCGGUUGGUUCAUUUUCUGCAACAUUUUCUUCAACCUCGUCCAUUGUAGUAUCUGCAAAGGUACCACCUAAAGCCUAGUUUAAAAUGUUGUUACCAUCACAAUCUUCUUCUUCACCAUCUUUCAUUACAACUCCUGUUUAGACCAUAACAGACCCGACAUGGUUUCACCUGAUCCGGCCUCCCCCUCCUGAUGGUGGGCCCCACCUUUUUCCCUCAGACCGAGCAUGCGAGGCCCGGUCCAGAUGUGUCUUGCCCAGCUAAGCCCAUCUGAACCGAUCGCCCAGCAGCAGCUCGAAGCUGAGCGUUGUAGCCAAGCUCCGCAUUGGCAUGCGCGCCACGGCCGGCCUCGUGUCCUAUGCCUAUUUAAGGUAAGGUCGAGCCCCACUCGCCCUCCGGCUGCUCCUGCGCUCUGCCUUUGAGCUGCAUCGCCGCCGUCGAGUGAGCCGCCAAAGCCGAGCACCGCUGCCGGAGUUGCUCCCCGAUUCACCAUGUCCGUCGUCAAUUGGAGGAGACCAUCGCUGCCUGGAGCCUCGCGUCAUCGAGCCACAUCCAGCUGACCCAUCCUCGGUGCCUGUCAUUCGCCGUAGCACCACCGCCGUGUGAAGAACCGGGCCGCCGCCAUCCUCCGAUGCCGGGCUGAUUUCGAGCCGCAUCAGCACCUCUCUGCCGCCGGUGAGCACAUUCGCAGACUCCCCUCCAUGUCCUCUAUCUCGUGUGCCAACGACUUGAACCCCUAGCUCGACGAAUCGCCAGCCAUGCUCGGCGUUCAAAGCCAGCAUCCAUGGCCAGAGCUCUUUGAGCUUUUGCAAUUUAGACCCUGAGAUGUCAUGUUUUGUUUCAAAACUUGUUGUCAUGUUUAUAGACUUGCUUUUAUAAUUAAAAUCUAAUUAGAGUUCUACCUCAUGUUUUUCAUAUUAAAGUUAAUUUCAUUAAUGUUUACUUUACAUGCUUUUCUAAAUAAAAGCUAAUUAGGUUAUAUAUCGGUUUUUCAUAACCUAAUAUCAAUUUUAUUAAUGUUCAAUACUGAAUCAACUUUUCUAAAAUAAAAGUUGGUUAGGAUUUUACACCGGCUUUUAUAAAUAAAUAUUAACUUGAUUAAUACCAACACAAAUAUGUUUUCAAUAACAUUUAGAUGUUUCACCUCGUUUAGCCUUUUUAAAGUUAAAUGCUGAAAUAGUAUAAUUUAUACUUCAAUAUUAAUAAUUAAAAUAUAGUUAGGUUAUAACUCGGUUUUUCUUAAUCAUUGAUGAAAUGACUAAUGUCAAUAUGAAUCUAUUUUCUAAAUAAGGUUUAUUUAGUCCAACACGACAUAUGUGUAAUUCAAUUAGCUGUUUUCACAUUUCUAAAGUUAAGUGUGCAAUUGAUAUAAUUUAUAGAUGAACAUUUAUAAAUAAAACUUGAUUAGGAUUUACCUAGUAGUUCUAUAUCUACAUGAGUAGUUUUGUGCCGCUCAUUUCCCUAUCAAAGUAGUCUUAUCAUGUUGUUUCAUGUUCCUCUUAAAAUCAUGUUAGCCAGCUCAUAGCUAUUCUUAGUUCUCCUUCUUAGUUGUCUCUUUUUGAGUCAGCUACGUUCUUUUAGUUCUUUGUGGCCAAAUUUUCGCAGCCAUCUCAUUAGAGCCAGUCUUGUUAGUCUGUUUCUCUACCGACUAAUUCAGUUUAGCUUUGACUAGUUUGUUGUCCAUGCAGCCUAGUUGUUCUCUUUGUAGAUUAGUUUCUCCUAAACCAUAGUGUAAGCUUUUCUUCCAUGCUAGUCUGUUUUCGUUGUUCUUGUUCGUUUCACCUUAACUUGCAUUACCAAUGUGUCUUACUUGUUGCUUGUUUUUACAUCAAAGUAAUUGACAAUUUGACUAAUACCUAUUAGAACCAGUUUUCUAAUUAAAAGUUUACUAGUUUUAUAACACGGGUUUUCAUAUAAAAUGUUAACUUGACUAAUUCUUGUUCAAUUAGUUUUCUAAAUAAAAGUUGAUCAUGUUCUAUCCCGAUUUUCCUAAACUAAGAUUUAAUUGAUUAAUUCCUAUUUAUAACUAGCUUUUCUAAAUAAAAGAUACCUAGUGUUAUACAUCGGUUUCAAAAAUGAAGUUAAUAUGCUUAAUGCAACAUCUCUCUUUUUAGAGCAUUUAAAAAUAUGGAUUUUCUAAAGUUUUUCUUUAAACUAAACCUAAUCCCUUUUCCCAAACAUUCAAAACUCUUUUUGCAAAUAAAACUUGCAUGAAACAACAGCAUAUGUGUUGCCUUAGGAAUAUUUCUUUCCUCUAUAUAAUAUCUGAAUUUUAUCCAAUUAUUAAUCCUAUUUAAAUCCUAUGAUAACUUCCUUUGAAUAUUACUCAAAUAUAAUAUUCAAACUCUUGACCCGUCCUCUCAUCAUUAAAGUCCUAGAAACCUUUUCAAAAUAUUUCUUUCCCUAGAAACCAUAAAUUUAAUAUUCAAUUAUAAUUUGAAUAUUAAAUAUAUUCAAAUGUCUAUUUAAUAUUUAAUAUUCAAAUAUAAUUUACGAUGUUUCGAAGUCAGCCACCUCGAACCCGAUCUAUUCUAUCCGGUAGUGUUCUUUGGUGCCAAAGGUAACUAGCAAAACAACCUGUCCGAGUGGUACAACCACAUUGCCCGGGGUAAUCCCGUAGAAUGGAGAGUUCAUUCGAGUGAGCACGUCAGUGAUGUCGAGGCCCAUCUUCCUCAAUUGGAGCGGUCUAACUAUUCCUAGUCUGAGUAGAAUUGAGGAGUCCUUGUUGAUUACAACUUGUAAAACGGUUUUCUUGCAGGGCAAGACCUCCCCAUCCUAUAAAUAUAAAGUGCCACGGUCGAUUGAGGGCAUCCAAUCAAUCAAAUACCAAUCUAUCUUUUACUUUUACCUUUCUUUCCUCUUUGUCGUACUUUUCCAACCCCAUGUGCUGUUCUUCUCCUAUCUCCAUGGCAUGAGGAGGUGCCCUAGCUGGCCUACCGAGCCUUAGGCAACCCAAGGUGCGCCUGCCCUGAAGGGAUCCCUCUCGGGCGGGCCUUCGUUGGAUCCUCGCCAGGCUCCCUGGCGAGACCGGUAUGAUCAACCUGCCUUAUCGGUCUGACUAGCCUCCGCAACAACGCAACAAGGAGCAUCUUUGCGGGCUGCACGUUCAGUGCUCAAGUGUUUGGCGUGACGUGCAUCAACAAUCCCUAUAAGAAUCUGUGUGUUUGCUUUUGUGUUUUGUUUACAGAGAGAAUCUGCAUGUGUAUUCGUGUGUGCUUUGUUUAGCUAAGCGCCUAAGCUAUAUUGGUUAGUUCUUAAUUCUACAUGCGAGCUGUCAGCACUCAGCACCCUUUACAGGGAUGUUUGUUUUUGUUUUAAAAUUGGCCGUGGUUUGGGAAGUGCCCCUCACAUGCUACUCAAUGGAGAUGCGCUCGUGCCCUUUCUCUCUAGAUUCGCAAUGGAGAUUUUUCUAUCAAGAAGGGUAUGCAUUUGAGGAUGCAACACGUGAUGAGAUUCACAAAAAGGGAAAUUAGUGACUACUGAGUGUUCUAAGUUUUGGAUAGGUGGUUGAUUGAUCAAGAAGAUCGGCAAUACACAUACAUAGAUAUGAAAAAAAAACUUGUUCAUAGGGAAAUAUAAACUUUUAUUAGUUUAUAAAUUGGUUUUGCUAUUCACCAGCCGGGAAAUUACAAAACCUUUUUUUCUUUCAUUUGAUUCAAUUCAAGUGGAUCAACAAAAAAUAUGGAUCAUUUGAAAAAGUGUCCACACGUUCAAAACUACCCUGCGACGCUUCCCUUUGGAUACAAGGCUGAAAUAAUGGCCAUGCCUCAUAUGAACCAUAUGGCCUGUGCAGUAGUCAUAGUUGACGACAUGGCUCCAUUGCCAAGUUAACAUGUUCAAAGCUUAAGCAUACAAAUACACAGGAAAAAUUCGUGUAUUUUGUUGUGUGUUCGACAGAUUCUAUAGGCCAGCCCUAUGGACCUUGGGUGCUGGCUGCACAGGCUAGUAUCUCCAUGUUGCCGUGGAGACCCUAGCCUAUAUAUGUAACCCCGAUACUUUGCAUCAAUCAAUCUAUUAUUUACGAGCCAUAUUGCUUUCAUUGUGGAUAUGGAAAACUCACUACUAUAGACGAGCCCUUUGCCACUAGGCUAUCACCAGUUUUGGGUGAACCGGUGGUGAUAGCGUAUCACCACCGGUCUGUCGUCCGUUGAUCUAUCUAUGAUCCCAUCAGAAGGUUUGGACAAUCCUAGAUAUGGGACUGUACACCGAGACGUAUGAGAUAUGGAGACUAUGGUGCAGGACGGCGUGGUCUACGUGGAGGACAAGAACUAGAUGAAGAUUAGGAAACUACUUGUAGCAAAUAGAGUAGGUCUCUCUAGUCGAAUCGGACUAGUAUUCUUGUAAACAACCAACCUGUAACCCUACCCCCAGCAAUAUAAGGCGUGGUAGGGACCCCCUACAAACAACUUCAAUCCAUUACAAUACAAUCAACACACAGGACGUAGGGUAUUACGCUAUUUAGCGGCCUGAACUUGUUUAGAUCAUGUGUUCGAGUUCACCGUCGAGUUCCUGAUCUAAGCGAGCCCCAUGCACUAAACACUACCUCGGGCACCUCCUGGAUAGGUUGCCGGGUCUAAAUACCGAUAGUUAGCAUGCCAAGUAGGGGAUCUCGCUGAAGAUCCACCAGCGAACUCAAUAGCUCAAGUCAUCAUCAAGUCCACCAUUGCAUUCGAAGUGAUCGCGGCAUUCAUCUUCGGCUCUUGGGUUUGCAUCGUAGAUGGUGUUGGAAACUUCCACCGCCACAUUAUGCCAGCCCCAGAGGAGAAGCAGUACAACAUCAACCUUCAUCGCCAAGCUUUAGAGGAUUUCGUCAAAAAAUUCAACGAAAUUUUCGACCUACUUAGAGGCUUGCAGAACGAGUUCGAGUACAACUCGACUUCUCCCACUAGUCGAAUUGGUUCCCACGAGCUGACGCUUAAGCCAUCGUGUGAAUCAGUCUACAAUACAAGUCGAUUUCCGUUCGAACUCCAAAACUCGGGUGCUGUCUACCAAGACACCCAAUCCAGAUCACAAUUCAACUCGAAUUUGUUUAAGGACCUCAACUACUACUCAGAUUCGGAUGAGGAGACUCCAUUAUCAGGUACACAACAAGGCUUGGUUAUCACAUCUCUCCACAAGGCAGAUUCAUCUACUGACCAUGAAGCGACCUGCUCUCGCCAAGGACGACGAGUCAUGCCUUGUUGUCUACCUUGACACUCUCCCGUACCAGGAGGGAACCCCUCUAUCGCCCAUCUACAAAGAAGGCGGCUCCACAGAGAUCAUCACGUCAAGUUCGGGUAGUUUUUCUCCGAAGCGAGAACUCUUCGCCCUCUUGACCGCACGAGAAGGCGAUGGUGAAGAACCACCGGAAAGGAAUCCAUGACGCAAACAUCACCUAUAUGAGAUGUCACAGGAUGAACUUACCACCAACGUAGAAGGAGAAGAAACUGAAGCUCAAAAGAAUCGACGAUGAGCAAGAAACGCUGCAAGAGCAGAGCGUCGCUGCCACCUUGCAGCUGAACUACCCAUCAUGAACUUGGAUCACAUGUUUGAAGUAGUUCAUUGACCUGAUUACUUGGGCAAUGCCACAAACCAAUUACACCAUGCAACUGGCUCAGCUGGCAGAGCACACAUACAGGCAACUCGAUCAACAAAGCCCAAUACAUUUGGUUCGCCACGCCUCAUCCCAGCAUGGCAGUAGCCAUAGACAACCAAUUCAAAACGAGGGUGCCUCAAUUGAGGAUGCUAAACCAAGCCAAAAUAGGGCAGAGGGAAGUCGGUCGGAACCCUCAGGAGGUUGCAGCCGCCGUGGGCCCUACGUAGACCUUGAACCCUAGUACAUGGCCUCCGUCAGAAGAUCAACAACAGCCGCGACACCCGUACAAUCAUUAAAGGGCACCGCCAUGAGCGUAAACAAAAAGUUGAGUACUUGAGAGAUGAUUCUGUGGGUUCCCCACCUUCUCAAAAUGAGCAUGAAAGAUGGUUCUACCCGACAAAUUCAAACCUUCGGGUAUCACCAAAUAGGACGGCAAGCAGGACCCAGUCCAAUGGCUGCGGUGCUACUCAUUGUUAGUUCAGGUAGCGAGAGGAAACGAUGACACCAAGGUCAUUUACUUCCCCAUCUGUAUGGAGGCAGGACCACUCACAUGGCUCAAAUCCCUAGAGAAGAACUCCAUCGACACGUGGAAGCACCUAAAGGUGGCAUUCACAAACAACAUCGCAGGGGAAAUGCAACGUCCUAGCAACAGAAUCGACUUGUCUCAAGUCAAACAACAAUAAGGGGAGACCCUGCGCAAUUAUCUACGCCGUUUCUUUGACAAGAAGGCCACUAUCAUGGACAUCAUAGAGCGUGAUGCCAUAGAUUGCUUCCAGAAUGGUCUCUAUGACCAUCGAAUGUUCCAAGAUUAUUGCAGGAAUGCCCAAAAGAUAUCAAGUCUCUCAAGAUCAUGAUUCAAGCCUAGGCAGAUGAAGAAGAUAAGGAGAUCGAGAGGUUCAAGUCUAGUCAUAAUAGGGGCUAGAACAACAACAAUUAGAGUAAUGGCCAGCGCAACAACAAGAACCGUAACGAUCGCCCCAAUAAUGACAAUCAAAGCAACUACUCAGGUUGUCAUAAUCGCAAGAGAAAGUCAGACAAUACUGUUGCGGUGAUGUUCCAGUCCUCAAAGAAAGGUAGCAAGAAUCAAGAAAGGACUCCAUUCAAUGAGCUCUUAAAAUAGUGCCCAUGGCAUCCACACCAUAAGCACUCUGCGAUGGAUUGCUAUAGCCUGUGCAGAGUCAUGAAAGAUCUGCUAGAACCUUCUCGGGCAAAGGACAAGGGCAAGGCCAAAGAAGACAAAGAUGAUGGUAGCAACGGUAAAUUCCAAAACCCAUCCAACACCGUCAACGUCAUCUUCGGCGGCACACCGGGUACUGCUUCAAAGCGGUCCUAGAAAUUAACCCUCCAAGAGAUUAUGUCCAUUGAACAGGCAACGCCUACAUUCCUCAAGUGGUUCGAGGUGCCAAUCACCUUCUCCAGGAAGGAUCAGUGGACUAGUUUCUCUGACCCUGGAUGCUAUCCUCUCGUCCUGAACCCAGUAGUCACAGGCUCUCAUCUCACAAAGUACUCAUUGAUGGUGGUAGUGGUAUCAACGUACUUUUUCACUAAGACUUUGAGGAAAAUGGGCCUCGACGUUACCAAUAUGCUCACCCUGAUGAACUCUCCGUUCUAAGGAUUGUUCUAGCCAACGUGGUUGUACUCCUUGGCCAGAUGGUUUUGCUAGUUACCUUCGGGACCAAAGAACACUACUGGACAUAGUACAUCAAUUUUGAGGUAGCUGAUUUCAAAACUGGACAUAGUUAUCUUUGCCGCUUCCAAGAAACUGUCCCUAUCAGAACUUGAGAUACCAGAGAAGAAGUCAGGGGCAACCAAGGUCAAGCCGGCAAGUGAAGUCGAUAUCAAAGCCAUUGACCUUGAGACUGCUGAUAGCUCCAAGAUAGCCCUGAUUGGCUCAGGGCUGGAUCCCAAAUAGGAAACCGCGUUCGUCAGCUUCCUUUAGGCCCACCAAGACAUUUUUGCAUGGAAGCCAUCAGAUAUGUUGGGGGUGCCUAGCGAGUUGUCAAGCACUCACUAAUUGUGGAUACCAAAGCUACGCCAAAACGACAAUGACUACAUCGAUUCACCCAAGAUAGAAGAGAAGCAAUCAAAAAAGAGUUGGCCAAACUACUCAUGAUUGGAUUCAUAAAAGAAGUCUAUCAUCUAGAGUGGCUGGCCAAUCCCGUCUUGGUGCGGAAGAAAAACAACAAUGAGUGGAGGAUGUGUAUCGACUACAUAGACCUCAACAAGCACUGUCUAAAGGAUCCCUUUAGGCUUCGUAGGAUUGAUCAAGUCAUUGACUCAACGGCUGGAUACGCUCUAUUCUGCUUCCUCGAUUGCUACUUGAGGUAUCACCAGAUAGCCCUCAAGGAAGAAGACCAAAUCAAGACCACGUUCAUCACCCCAUACGGAGGUUUCUGCUACACUACUAUGUCCUUCGCGCUAAAGAACGCAGGCGCCACCUAUCAACAGGCCAUCCAGGAGUGCUUCAAAAAAUAACUACACCGCAACGUAGAGGUGUACAUGGAUGAUGUGGUUGUAAAGACUAGAAACCUCGACGACUUGAUUGCGGAUCUGGAAAAAAAAACUUUCGCAAGCUUGCAAGAGUUCUGGUGGAAGCUAAACCCAACAAAGUGCGUGUUUGGCAUACCCUCCGGAAAACUACUUGUGUUCAUCAUCAAUCACCAAGUAAUUGAAACUAACCCCGAGAAGAUCUCCGCAAUCACCAACUUGCACAUCCCAUCGUGCAUCAAGGACGUCCAGAAACUGACUGGAUGCAUGGCGACCCUCAACAGAUUCAUCUCAAGGCUUGGAGAACGGGGACUACCCUUCUUCAAACUACUCAAGUGGCAAGAUAAAUUCCAGUGGACCAAGGAGGUAGAUAAAGCCCUUCAAUAGUUGAAGGACUUCUUAUCAAAGCCACCGGUCCUCACGGCACCUAACCCUAAUGAAGACUUGCUGCUCUACAUUAGCGCGACUACCAAUGUUGUCCGCAUGGCGAUGUGGUUGAAAGACUAGAACCAGGCCAUGUAUACAAAGUACAGAGGUCCAUCUACUUCGUCAGUGAGAUGUUGUCGGAUUCCAAAUCCAGGUACCCACUAGUUCAAAAGCUACUAUAUGCAAUAGUACUGACCUCGCGGAAACUACGACACUACUUCCAAGAACACAACAACUCCAUCAUCAUAGACUUCCCCUUGGGAGAAAUCCUCCACAAUCGAGAUGCGACAGGAAGAACCUCCAAGUGGGUAGUAGAACUCGAAGCAUUGUCCCUAGAAUUCAAGUAAAGGAUUGCCAUCAAGUCACAAGCACUAGUAAAUUUCAUGGCAGAGUGGCGGCAAAAUCAAGUACCAACGCCAGCAGAGCACCCAGAGCAUUAGGUCAUAUAUUGUGAUGGAUCACUCAAGCUCGAGGGCGCCGGCGCAGGAGCACUCUUAAUCUCUCCCAAAGGCAAAUAGCUGAAAUAUGUUCUGCAAAUCUUCUGGGAGGUGUCCAAUAAUGAAGCUGAAUACGAAGCACUUCUGCACGGGCUCCGCCUGGCAAUCUCGCUGGGAAUCAAGCGAUUGUUGGUCUACGGCAACUCACUGGUAGUCAAUAAUCAUGUCCACGAUGAGUGGGACUGCCACAAGAACAACAUGGAUGCGUACUACCUGGAAGUACACAACCUAGAGAACAAGUUAUCUGGUCUGGAGUUUCAUCACGUGGCUCCUGAUAAUAACGUAGCCAUAGGCAUCUUAUCCAAGCUUGAAUCUACUCGUGCUCAAGUCCCAGCCGAGGUCUUCAUCCAUGAACUACACAAGACAUCCAUAGUGGAGCCGGCGCCAUCAAAAACCACACGGGUAUUUAUGGUGACCCGAGUGCCUUUGGAUUAUUAUGGCACAAAGUAGGUCCAAGUUGGUAAUUGGGAGUUGAGAUACAAGUCGGCUAAAUUAGUGCCAAAAAAACAUUAUUAAUUUGGGAGUGUCAAAAUUUUGUAGCGGGUCCCAUGCACUAACGAAUAAUAAAAUUGCAUUAUAGUUCAUAAGGAUCUCAAUGUGGAAUAAAAUUAAACAUGAUGCUUGACUAGUUUUAAUUGGGCAAUGUAGAUCUCACAUAUGAGAGACGUGGAUUUUUUUAUGCUCAAGCAACACACGUGUAUAUAUUUAACUACUAAGCUAAUAAAGAGAAAAAGAAAUUUAAAUUUUGACAAACAAGAAAGGGAAAUAAAGCUUGAACAAAUCAAAUUAGAAAACAACCAAGCUUUGUUGAGCACUGAUGAGUAUCAGAAAAUCCUUAGUUGAAAAGAUCACAGAAAUAAACAUAUUAGGGGCUAUAGCAGCGCAUAUAUACAACUGAUGAGUAAGGGCCUCUUUGGAACAUAUGAUUCCCAAAACGUACAAAUGAAAAAAAAAAUAGAGUUACAUGAAACUUGCAAUACUACAUGAAUUCAAAAUGCAGGAAAGUUUAUGUAGUAGCCUUUGGAUACAACACAGGAUAAACACAGGAAUUCGAAGCGAGAGAGACACACACAUAAACACACAUACAGGAAAGUUUUCAUAAGGUCCUCCAGAAUUCCUAUGGAUUCAUGCAUCCCAUAAGAAUUCCAAGGAAUUUAAGGGUGCAAUCCUUUGUUCCAAAGGGUCACAUAGGAAAUUUUCAUAUAGGAUCGAAAUCCUUCAAAAUUGCUAUGGUUUUCCUUUGCUCCAAAGGGGCCUAAACUGACACUAAUGUUUUGGUGGUUGUCCGCCGCGGCUAGAGCUAACUGCAUAGAACGUUUGCGUCACUUGACAUGCGAUGAUGAUGAGAGCCACUAGUAGUACGAUGAUGAUCACUAUGUUCUUAAACUGGCAGAACCAUCCCAUGAACCUGUGCACGCGGUUCUCGCAGCGCUCCUGCAUCUCGUGCCACAUGGGCAUGAGGUAGUUCCUGUCGAUGUUGUCGACGUCCAUGACCACUCCCUUGCAGAGGUCGGCGAAGCCUUGAGCGACCUGCUCGUCGCUGGCGAGGAAGUGUUCCACGAUCCCUGAGUGAACCAAGAGCUUCACGUCCUCCACCGUGCCUGCCACCUGCGACAUGAAGAGGCAGUACGCCGUGACAGGUCUCCGGGAGAUCUGCUCCUCCAGCGCCAUCAGGUUUCGCAGGACCGUCCACGUCAUGCCAUCAACCCGCAGGCGGGGGACCCACAGCGUGCCUCCUUGAAGGCGCACGUCGAGGAAGGUCCACUUCUCAUUGUCCUGGAAGACCUGACGCUUGAACCGCACGUUGCCGUACUUGCAGUACUCCGUCGCGCGGCGCCACCGACCCGUGCGAGGGCGUGCAGCGUUCUCUUCCAUGGCCGGAGGUGGACUAGUUGGCUGCAAGUAGAAGUGCAAUAAGUGCAGCAGAUGGGGUGUCGGCGGCGUCAGAGCCGGAGCCGGCCGCCGGUGCUUGCUGAUGUAGAGCUGUACCUGCAGCACCUCCUGGACAUAAUCUGCUAUGGAUUCGAGGGCGGAGCUGGUGGUAUCACCUGUGACGCGCUCAUGGAUCUUCUGUAGCACGAAGAAAGGUAUCUGGUUCUCAACGAGGAAGACGGUGUCGCGGACGACGGUGUUGUUGUCGCCGCCGCUAAAUGAGCCGCCGUCUUGGACAUCUCCCCCUACUGUUUGCGCCGGGUCUCCGUCUUUACCAGUUGAGCUAUGUGCUAACUUCUUGUCGGCAUUAUUUCCUCUCUGAUAGUCCACCAUGCAAGCGAGGAGGAAGCACCCAUCACGUAGCAACAUUGUCGACAGCUCUUCCGGCGUCAUGUGGCCAACACCAUCGGGGUAGCAAGCCCUCGCUAGGGGCUCCAGUUUCUCCGCUAGACCCGUAAGACCACCUUUGAUUUGGUCCUCUGAGAGGCUCUGAAAGAAUCCUACACAGCACAGCUUCUCCUUUUCAAUCCGUGGGGACGAGCAACUCGCAUGGUAAGGGCCGAUAGACACGGAGUGUGGAGUGUAGCUGUUGACGUCGCCGGCACGGACUUGAUCACGGACCUUGGAGAUGAGGACACUUCUGCUCCACCUGCGUCUCCGUGCCAUUUCAGCUUCUUCGGUCAUGGCUUGUUUCCCUGCCUCCAAGUCGGUGUCAACAUGUGGGACUCGUGCACCUGCAUGCAGGAAGUAACUAAUUAAUCAGCGCAUAGCGUGCGAACGUACCACCAACGACACCAUAUUUGUUUGUUGAUGAGGACAACAGAUCUGUGAUCUGACUAGAGAAAAUAACAAUUAAACGGAAAUAAUGCUGCAGCAUCAAUCAUGAUGCUAACGUGCACUAGCCUAUUAAGUGGUCGACCAACCCAAACUAAGAACUUGAUUCUCCGAAUAACGCUGUCCAAGUUGGUAGAGUGAUAGUAGUCGUUGUAACAAGAUCGAUUAACUUCUACUCACCUGAUGACCACAGGGAGAGCGUAUCAGUGGUCAUGUGUUUUUGUGCUAUUUUUUGUGUUUUUGCUGCAACUAAGAUCUGCAUGGGUGUUAUUUUUUGUGCAUGGUGUUUUUGCAUGUCUUAGUUGCAGGAAGAAGCAGUGACUCUUUGUGGCUAGGCUAAUCGUUUGUGUCUCUCAAUCUUUUUCUUUUUCCUGGUCUAAUCAAUCAUAUUGCUAACAGAGUACUGAACAGACUGAGGCCCUUGCAUUGUCCCUGUGAGCGACUCGGGGGGCGGACGCCACCGAGCCCCCGCUGUCCAUGCGCCGCCACCAGCGGUGGCCUGUCGCUCCCCACGGCCAACGAGCCUCCAAUCUCUUUACUAACCCCCGCCCCCCCCCCCCCCCCCCCCCCCCACACACACACACACACGCACGCACGCACACACCCAAACAAAAACCCAAUGUAGCAACGUCUGCUGGUGGGCCCACAGGCCACAGCAGCGAUGAUGGCGGUGCCACACGGCCUGGCAUGACUGCAACGGCAUGGGCCUAGGGCGAAGCGGCUGCGGCAGCCCAUGGCCUUGCACUGCUGUGGCGGCGUGUGGCCUGCCAGGCUAUGGUGCGAGGCGUGCGACUCUGGCAUUCCCGUCGGUGCAUCCGGUGGCCAGUGGCACAGAUGUGACGAAGCCGUGCUAGGGACGAUGGUCGGUGACUGCAGUCAUAUUUGGCGUUCUUGUAACAGGUGCUCAGAAACUCAUCAUGCGGCGACUGUGAUACGGAGCGCACUUCAUCGAUGCCAUUGGGUCUCAGGUGCUUCAGCCUCCCGUGAUUGGCAAUGGCGUGGUAAGGGAUGCAUCUCGUCGACCCUUAGGGCUAUGUUGUGGUGGGCUAGGGUACGCUGGUGAAAUCCAUGGUGAUGAUGCCUUUGGGCAUCAUUUUCCUUCUUGGAUGCGUCACCUAUACAUCCCGAUCCCACCCCAUCACAAGGUCUCCAGGUGAAAAUUUUAUGUCGGUGGGCAGCAGCGGCUAUCGUCAUUUCCACGAUGGAGGUGUCAUUUUGUAGGCUUUUUGAGUGGUUAUGCACUUCAUGGCGGUAUUAUGGUUUCCCAAAUCAGAUUGGGCAAGAGCUAUUGCUAUCUUGCUUAAUUCCGCUGCAUAGUGGAAGUGUGGAUUGUUUUGUUGCUGUCUUGGUUUGGUGGUCAGAGCGUCAAUCAACGGAUGGAGUUGUUUCAAUUCCUCGUUGUUGGGAUUUGGCUCAUGCUGUGGUUCCGCUUUCACUUGAUGUGAAGGAGUUGGAUUUUGAAGGCGAUUUUACCAAACAUACCAUGAAGUGAGAUUACUAGAGUAGCUUGUUGGCAAUUUUAAGUUUCUUUUUUCUUUGAUUUCAUUACUUUUCUUUAAUACAUCGUAUCUUCUAAUGUCUUGGGUACAUGUUCAUUUAGGAUCUCUAGAAUUUUAUCUUCGGUAAUGCUACAGACCGAGUAUCUGGAGCACUUGCUUGUCUACGCACCCGAAAUUUGUUUGGUUCCAACCUACCCAUCUUAUGUGCAAGUUCACGUCCACACAGCUCAUCUCCCUCCACGUUCUUAUCCAUUCCCUUGCCCCCAGCGCUCUCUCUAUAUAUAUACUUUGAUUCACCUGCCGCAUCGCAUCUAUUAGCAUCAAUGGUCGUCGAGGCUGCCAAAGGACCGCAUCCACUAGUAAAGGACUGACCUUCCAUCCAGGAGCUUUUGUCCCGGUUGAUUUUGGACCCGAGACUAAAGUGCUUUUAGUCCCGGGUCAAAAAUGAGGCACCAAAAGACAUCGAUGGGAGGGGCUUUAGUCCUGAUUGUAAAGAUCUAGCACUGACACCCCCCUAUCGCGGUUGAAAAUUCCAACCGAGACAAAAAGCCCCCUAUCCCGGUUGGUAAUUCCAACCGGGACAAAAGAUUCCAGUGAGGGGCGACAGCGGGACAAAGGCAGGGCAGGGGCGCGGCCGGGCGGCCAAGCGGCGGCGGGCGGGCGACCGAUGGGCACGGGCGGAGCGGAGGCAGGUGCGGGCGGAUCCGGAGCGGAGGCGGGCGGCCGGCGAGCGCGGGCGGGCGAGCGGCAGCCGGGCGCACGGGACGGCGCGGGUGUUUUCUUUUAAAACUUUUUAGUCCCGGUUGGUAUUACCAACCAAGACUAAAAGGACCUAGAGCUAAAGGACCUCCUUUUAUUUUAAAAAUUUAGUUCCAGAUGGAUUUUCAGAAUCUUUAACUAAAAGUCCGUUUUCCACCCCGUGACUGCUGACCUUCCUGAGGAACUCCAGGCCCUUGUCUUCUGGCUCCUUAUCUCUAGCAACUACAAGCAUCACUCCCUUGUCUGCUGCUGUUGGCUCGACGUCGAGGCCGGCUUGCGCUUUGUGCAGGGCGCCGAGC
rnacentral:lncRNA from 1 species